ACCACUCCAUAAACACAAUAAACAGGUAGCAAAGAGACGAGAGCAUAUGAGACACUUCCUUUUUUUUUUUGGGCCUAUUUUCUUUUUCCUUAUCUGAACAACUGUUACAAUGAUACCUUCUAACCGAAAUGGACAAUUUUUUUUUUAAACCUCCCCUUUCUCUGUUCCAAGAAAGCCACCCAAAACUCCAACAUAUUUCAUUUUACAACCCCGGAAUGAGUUUACAAACAAACCAUUGUAGUUACAAAGUGCUUUUACCUCUCUUUGUUCUUUGGAUUCUGCUUCAGCUGUACAAAAAGACUGACAAGCUAACACUACAUAAGGGCUUUUUCUCCUGUUCCUUCUAAGAAGAAAGCCAGGAGCGGUAAAAAAAAAAAAAAGAAAAAAAAAGGACGUGAAGGGAGAAAAUUACAGCUCAAGGGAAGUAAUUAAGUUACAGCUACAAUUAUAACAUUUGACUGUGAUGCUUCUUCUUUUGUAUUCUUUCUUUCUUUCUUUCUUUCUUUAAUUUUCUUUUUAACCUGUGGUCCAAACGUCUUCAACUAAUGAAAUUAAAGACAAAAAUAGUACAACAAAGAAAGGAAUGGCUGACCCACUUCCUUCACAGCAUUUUUACGUAUGCAAAUUUUGUAUGGUAGUAAGUAGUAGCAGUAUAGUACCCAAUAUCCAGCCCAUACCGAACGUGUAGGAUGAGGAUGACGGUGGUGAUGAUGGUAGUAGGAUUGGAAGCUGUGGUGGUUCCCUACAGUCUCUGAUGUAAGUUUUUUUUUUGGUUUCUUUAUUCUUCGUAAUCUCCUGUUAAACAAACCAACAAAUGUCAAUACAAGGCGACAAAAUUUGUUUGAUUGUGUUGCGAGAACAAGAAUCCAAAGUUGGUGAUCUGAAUUUUUACCCAAGUAGAAGGAAGAAACUAGUUUCCCACAGGACAAGUCGGUCCACCGGUGCCCGUGUACAUUCCUAUGGCUCCAUGCCCAGAUGAGAACCUGAAUGAUGCAAAAAGAGAAUCAAAAUUUCAGGCACUUCGAUGAUGAUUCAUGAAGUAACAUUUUGGCAGGGGAUAUUUCUUUUUUACCUAGGCAUUUGACAGUUAAAAGAUUUGAAAGAUGCCAUGUCUAGAGAAGCAUUAGCAGUGGUUAAGUUAGAAGAAACCAAAUUAUUGUUAGCAGCAGAUGUUGCGGCAUCUUUUUCGGUCCCAUUGGCAUUAUUUGAGAAAGCUGAAAAGUAUUCUCCAGUGCCUUUAGUAGGAGAUGCAAAGGGGCUAUCAGGAAGAUUGUGCUCCAAGCUGCAACAAGAUUCAAUUGGUAAAAAAAAAAAAAUUAUACAUCAAGACAAAUGACAAAGUUCAAACAGGGGAGUUUAAAAAAAAAAGGAGGGGGGGGGGGGGGGGGGGGGGGGGGGGGGGCGGCGCGGGCAUGAUCUAUUACAGAAUCUUCUUAGUAAAAAUGUAAGGUAAAGAACAACAUUCAUCAAUUAAUGGGUUUUGCAGAUGUGAUUAAGAAGCUAAAGAUUCUUACUUUUCUGGCACAGCAUUGUUUUCAUCAAGGGAGGUAUCCUUUCUAUUGAUAUUUUCUUCACAGCUGGUGAAUUCCUUGCCAUUUGCAACAUGCUUCUCAGCAGCAGGAGCAGAAAAUGUGGGCAAAGGGUUCGAACCAUUCUCUGUUAAAAAAAAUCAACGAAAUUCUUAGUCUCUUUAGUUUGAUCUAAAAAUUAAACAAAUGAAGACUAGUACCUGGUGGAGGUUCUGCACUGCUGCUGUGAAGUGGAGGAAAGACAAGAUUUUGAUGGAAAAUAUUAGGAGAGUGAGUGGGGGAAGGAAUUGGGCUGCCAGUAGAAAGAGCCCUGUGAUGAUGAUGCUUCUUAACAUCAAGAAGUUGUAGCCCCAUUAAUCUUCUACUUUGAAGCUCGAGGGCUUGCUGCAAAUCAGCUUGCUCCUCCAUUUUCCUCCUCCACAGCAUGUCCUGAGUAUUAUUAUAGAACAUUCUUGCCCCUACGAAGACCAACAAAAGCAGGAAAUUAAAGAAAAUCCAAUUGGUACUGCAAUAAAAUGAAUGAAAACGAUUAUUUUUAUUUUUUCGUUUCUUGAUUCUUACCAUGUUGAAGGUCAAAAGGGUCUCUUGAAUCAAGCCCAGUUGGGGUUCCACAAGGAGAAAACUCUCCUCUUUCAACUUGUUGCUGUUGCUUCCUGCAAAUAAAUAACAAAAGUAUCUUCUUUUUAUUUUCUGAAAUUAAAAAGAAAGAAAAACAACCAUAAAUGAAAUUCAAAGAGAAAACGAAAAGUAUAGAGAUUGAAGAGAGCAAGUGCCUGUACUUGUCUGGAACUUUUCCUUUCUCCUUGUAAGGCUUAACAAGCACUCUUGCAUCACAAACAAAAUGGGGAUUUCCUUUGGCUAAAAUAAUCUUCACAGUUUCUGGAUAGACAAAAGUGACAAAUCCAAACAUCCUCUUCUGCUGAUAUGGAAUCCUCACAUCUUGCACAGGUCCAUAGAUACUUCAACAACAGGAAAAGAGGGAGGGGAAAAAAAAAAAUCAGUCUUUCAACUUGCAGAAACAAACUAAUAAAUUUUACACGUAGAAUCAUCAAGAAACCUGAAGUAAUUUGAAACAUCUUCUUCUCUGAACGUGCUAUCAGCUGGGAAAGUCAAGUAGAUUUGCCUUGAGGCUGGAUUCACAAUUCCGGCACUGCCGUUGAUCGAAAAAUCGUUUCUUUCAAGCCUAGAUCGGCCAAACUUGUGCAUAUCCUCAUUCAGCAUCAAAGCAGCAGCAGCAGCAGCCCUAUAGCAUUUUUCAUAAUUAGAAACUUAACAACAUAAAUUAUCAGAGUCUUGACUGCCCAAUUAAUGAAGGACUACUUAAGUACCUCUGAGUAUCAUUUUGUUGCUGCUGGAGAAACAAGUUCAUGCUUUUAGGAGAGUAAGGAAAAGAGGAUGAUCCCAUGAGCUGAGAAGCAGCAGCUAAUCUUUGCUGCUGUACUUGAGCAGCAGCUGCAGAUUUAGAUCUAAGAAGCUCAUGGCAAUGGUCAAUUGGCUCCAUCUUGCUAGGUGAACCAACCAAAGUAGCAGCACCAUCAGAACCCAUCAGAUUUCCACUACCAGUCUCUCCGCCAUGAACAAAUCUGCAGCUACUUCCAUUCUUGCAGUAGCCUCUAGCAAAGUACAAGCAUGGCCUCCAUCCAAGUCCUGAGUUCAAAUCAUCUGAAGAAGAGCCCAAAACAUCACUCACUGAGCAGCUUCUUCUGUGAACAGAGGAUCCUCCUCCCCAGUAAGAAGGGAAAAGCAUGGAGUCAGUAGCACCAUUCGGCGGGCUUGAUGAUAAGUCCAUCUGUGAUGGGUAGAACAAAUCUUGGUUUUUGUUGCCGAGAUUUUGGGAGCUUUCAUUGAGGAAAGAGAGUUGAUCCUGGAGCUGAUAUUCAUCUAUAACAUCAGAUGACCCACUUCCAGUUCCAUUUCCAUAGAAAGGCAGAGCUGAAGAAUUCAUUGUGGUAGUAGUUUGGGGAAUCAAGUCAUCAGGGUUUGGGAGAUCAGUGACAGCAGUGCUCCAAGAAGUACCACUUGGUAUUGUGAGAGGAGGGAGAUUGUUGCUGCCAAGAAGCCUAGAGGAAGAGGAGUUUUGCCUUGCUAGAAAAGGAGAAGGGGAAGAUGGAGUUGAAGGUGAGUUUGGUGAGUUUGAAGCGCGAACAAGCUCUUUUCUAGCUUUGAGAAUCACUGAGUGAACAAGUGCUUCUGGGCCAAAAGCUAAUCUAAUCAUUUCUUUCUCACCAUGGUCUUGAAGGAGAAGUAGACCCAUGAUUUUAGAAGCAUUUUCAGGGUCUAAGUUUUGGAUUCUUGAGAAAACAAUUCUUGUUGCCUCAUAACCAUCCAUGGCUAGCCAGAAACAACCUUAGAUGAUUGAUGAUGAUUAUGGUGAAGUGAUGAUGAUGAUGGGGAUGUGGGUUGGGUGUAGAUUUUACACCAACCCCAAGCCUUUCCAAAUGUUUGGUUAAAUUUUUCAGAAUAGCGAGAGUGAGUGAGGAACUAAAGCUGAGGCUGCUAAGCUGGAGCUAACGGGUAAGAAGGGUAGUGAUGAAGUGAAAGGUCUCACUUUACAAGUAAAACUUCUUUCUCAACAAGCCCUACCUACCAAACUUUCUCCUCCAAGUCCCAUGAUGAUGAGUGAGUGGAAUUGCAGUGUCUCUCCUCUUUUUCUUAUUCCUGCAAAACCCAAGAAAAGAAAAAGGUAACAAGAAAAGAAAGUUGAUAAAAGGGGAGAGUAUUCUCGUGUGGUGUGGUGACUAAAAGUUGUUGGAAAAUAUUGAGGAAGAGCAUGGAUGCUGAUGAGAGUUGCCUUUGUUAAAAGGAAAUCAAAAUCUUGGUAGUUGAAUUUCUUUAUACAGCAAACCUAAUAAUAAUAACAAUAAUGAGUGGAGUGGAAAGUGGAGAUAUUACAACUUAUCUCUCGGUUCCUGUACCAAAAUUAAAAUUGAAAACAAUUUUUCAGGGCAUGAGACUGAGAGAGUACGGGCUUACCCGUGAGAGAACCUUGACCAACCACCAAAAGCACUGUAAUUUUUAUUUGAUCUCAGGAAAUUUACUACAAUAGCCAAAGACUACGUCUAUAUAUAAACCACCGCCUUCUUUCAAAGGCUCUCUCAGCAGCUAUAUAAUAGUAGUAGCAGAAGGAAGCUAUUGCAACGCAGUAGCUGAAGAAGGAACCAUCAAUUGCUUUGCUGCCUUCUUCUCGUUACUUCCCUCGCUCAGUACUGCCCAGCUGCUGGUGCUGGGUCUGAGCAGAAAGUUAACAGUGGGCAUGCAGUCAGUCAAAGCUCAGGCUCAGCUAAGCUAUAAAAACUCUCUCUCCUUGGAAUUUAUUUAAAAAAGAAAAAACACAAAACAAAGAGGGGUAGCAGUGGCAGAGAGCGUGUGGGUGUGUGGACUGUGGAGUUUGCUAAACUAAAGCUUUUGAGUGGAUCUAGAUCUGUUAAUUUGUGCACGUUCACUUAGCCCUAACCUCCUGACACAACUAUUUACUAUCUCUGCUUUUCUAUCCCCCGUUUAAAUUACAUGAAAUCUAAAAUGAAACUAGUCAUUUACUUCCACUCCCCACCCUAGCUAUGUGGUCCACACGCGCCAAAAUUGGUAGAAAUGAUUGAAGUUUUGGUUAAUUUAUUUCAUUAGAAUACAUAACAUGGAAGCCAGUCAAUGUCUCCCUGUGUGCGCAAUCGAUCAAUCUUUUCCUCCCAGGCCCUACAGCUCUCGCAAUCUUAUUGCUACUUAAAUAAAGAGGCUUUUACUGAGUUCAUAUAUUGUCUUGGGUCAUUUAAUUUUGUUGUCAUGUGUCCCACAAGUAUUUAUUUAUUUGUGUAUAAUUAGCUUGAUAGCAUUCUCUAGCUUGAUAAUGCUAAUUAUACAAUCGAUAAUAAUGACGAUUAUAAUAAUAAUAAUAAUAAAAAAAAAAAUUGAAGAAAGAGAGAAAGAGUACUUGUUGAGUGUUGUUUUGAUGCUGGAAAAUAACGAGAGGUGUUGGGAUUUGUAUGGGUAGCAUGGUUGUUAUAUUUGUAUACACGACAUAGCCCUUAUCAUUUGUCCUCUUUUAGAAUGCCCCACAGCAAAUAAAUAUGAUAGGCAUGCAUAGCUGAAUCUCUCUUUCUUUUUUCUCUCUCGUUCUCUUUCUCUUUCUCUUUCUCACUCAGUGCCCAACUCAUGAUCAUCAAAUAUUACACUUUCUUUCACCUUUUUUCAUGUUUAGAAUUAGAUAUAACUAGGUGAUUUGAACAUGAUCAAGAAAUAAAAGAUGAAAAAGAAGCUCAGUAGCCCCAGCUUGACAGUGAAAAGUAAGAGUAGCUGCCGCUCACAUGGGUGUGGCCAUUGCAGCAAGAUUUUUUUCUCAUAAUUAUUGAGCAAUUCUAGCCAUGUGUACCAACUACCCAUACAGUUUGUUGUAUUUGGUUUUUGAAUAGCAACGAUGAUAUUUCUCAUGUGUAAAUCUCAUGUCUCUUUAUAUAAUCAAAUUUCAUGUCUCUCUUCUAUUAUUGCUGCUUUCAAUUGGACUCGCUGCAUGGUGAAUAUAUAUAUAUAUAUAUAUAAAAACUAUGUUAUUAAUUUCGAGUAAUAUAUUGUACACUGCAUGGGCACGACCAAUUUGUAUUUUAUGAGAACGUUUGAAAGCGAAUAGAACUAAUAGUAUGACUAUUAAAAAAGAUAUGAUACUAUUAAUUGAUUGUCUCGUUCUUUAUUGUCAAUUAAAAGUGGUUUCUACUGUGCUAAUAUUCUCUUGAACAUAAAAUUUAUCAAACUUUUUUUUUUUUUUAAUAUCAGAGGCAGGAAAUAGCAGCAAAACACCGUUUCUCUUUAAUCUUUUUAUAUAUGUGUAUGCAUACUUUUUUUAUGCAUGAUCGGCUAAAAUAUCAAGUAUCAGGUUGUUGCCCCCUCAUUAUCAUCACUUUGUUUAUAGCAAAUGAAACAAAUUUAAUAGCAAUCAAAGCUUAUUUGAAGUCAUAUAUUAAUUAGCUGGUAUCACAUUCUUUGAUGUGUGUUGCAUCGUGGGUCUUCUUUGUUUUUUCUCCUAAUUGAGCACUGAAGUUCUUAUCAUAAUCUCCGAAACUGUUUCCUUAAAAUCUUUUUUUUUUUAAAGUAUAUAUAGCUGUGCAAAGGUAAUUAUCAUAAAAUAGUUUUUAUCUAGGUUAAACUUUUCUUACCAAAUUUGAUGGGCUACCAAACUCAAAGAAAAGGCAGCUAAUGUGCUUAUUUUUCAACAGUGGCUUUGCAUGUUACCCAAAAAGAAAAAAUCAUUAAGAGGCAAACUUACCAACCACAAAGAGAAAUAGAAGUAGUCAAGAUUCUAAACACUAACAAUUGAGUGAGUCUCAAAGCAGUAAUAGAAGAGAGACAUGAAAUUUUGUGUUCCCUAGGAAAGCAACUCUGCCUCGGCGAGUCGAAUUGAAAGGAUAGGUAGGCCGAUUGCUAUUUGCUAGUUGCAUUGAAAUUUGCCUGUUUUUGUGAGCUUUAUUGUUCUGGCUCCCCCCUCAGAUUACGAUGUCGCAUGGCAUGUUUUGUUGGACAGAGAUGCUGCCAGUGUCUCUUAAGCAAAUCUUUAAUAAUCAUGGUAUUAAGUUAGCAUAAUUAAAUUUCUGACUACUGUUUGUUUCUCUUGUUCUGUACAAGUUGCUAUUCAAUCACCUCGGCCCAAUAUAUGUAACUACUAACGUUGAUGAGAUUUCAAGCACGUGUCAUGUUUGCACAUAAGGAUUAGUUAAAUCAUAAUAUGCAUAUUCAUCAAUCAAUGAUAUUGUGUUUGGAUCAAAAGGAUUUCCAAACCAAACAAAAAAACAAAAGCAUUGGCCCACAUUAUGUGAAAUUUGUACAAAUAAUUUAAAAUAUAAAGUAAUAAAUAAUUUACUAUCACCAAGCCGACUCUAGAGCAUUUGAAGUCUUUGUCCAAUUUUUUCGUGGAGUGUCUUUUUAUGUUAUAAUUUCGAUACUCAAAGAAAUAUAGAACGACUCAAAAGUUUAUUUCAUCUUUAAUUUUUAAAUUUUAUGAGUAAUAAAAAAGAUCUUAAAAGCUUUCAAAAACAAAAUCUAAAAAAAUAGUUUAGAACAUAUCUAUUUUACUUCCAUUAGAAUCAUUACAAAAAUAAACAAAGAAAUAAAUAAGAACACUAUUGUUUUCAAAUAUAAUAUUUAAAAUGACUGCACAUUGAAAGUUGAGAUGACGGAUUGUCAGAUAAUAGAUAUGAACUUUGAAUUUCAAGAAACUUUUUUUCUUUUUUAAAUCAACCAAUGAAUGUAAUAAUUUUCUUUGUAAAGAAAGGGGCAAGAAAAUUUUCUAUCUAUUGAUUUUUUAUAUUAUAAGUUUUAAUAGAAAUUAAAAGGAAUAUUAAAAGUCAAAGAAUUCAACUUUAAAUGAUCAAGUUUUUUUUUUUAAGGAAACUGAAAAUGUAAAGAAUUUAGUUUUUUUAGAAAGACUAAUAAUGAAUGAAUUAAUGGUUAAAUAGUAUUAGUAAUUAUAUCUUUUUAACAUUAAGAUUACCAAAUAUUGAUUUUCUAAAAAAAAUCCUUAAUUGUAGUAUAGUUGUUAAUUAUAAAAGGUGUCUAAUAGGCUUUUCUACAAUCCAUAAUUCUAAAAAAGAUCUUUAUUAAUUAGAGAAAUAUUGAGAAAAUUACUCAAAAAAAAUAAAAACCUAAAAAAAUAUGGGGCCUUAAGCGACUGCCUUAUUUACCUAUACUUAAAGUCACUCCUUCCUAUCACAAAGAUAAAGGAUUUGGUGAUCAAGUGGUUAUCAAAUAAUUUCUUUUAUAGAAUUAGAAUGUGAUAAGUAAAUAAAUUAAAAGAAUAAUAUGAUAACUUAAUAUAUGAUGUAAAAGUACCAAAAUGAAGAUUAUUAAAUAAUAUGUAAAAAAAUUGUAAGUUCUCACAACAUUCUUUGUCCCCCCCCCCCCCCCCAAAAAAAACUAUUUUUGCACAAGAUUAUACUAUCAAUCAAAAUAAAAUUUUCAAAAAAGAAAACAUUCAUAAAAAGCAGUGUUAUACUAUAAAUAUGAAUAAAUUCGAAACAAGCAAAUAUCUGACCCAUUAAUUUGCAAUUACUUUACAGUCUAAUUAAGCAAUAUGAAAGGAAAAAAAAAAAAAUUAACUUCGGCAACAAUACUGAAGUUGUUAAUCCACUUUGACCCUGUUUGGUUUGGCAGAUCCUUUUUUGAGUGUCUAGUUCUCCAAUUAGCAUAUUACGUUUUUAAGUUGGCCAAAGUCAUUCAAUUACAAAUAAUGGGAUCAUGCUACGGUGCAACUGUAGCACUGUGCCACAGUUGCAUCUAACCGUUGGAUGCAGUUGGAUUGGUGAGAUCUAUUGAUAUCCAACGGCUAGAUACAACUGUGGCACGAUGCCACAGUUGCACCUAAGGUUCCCCAAAUAAUGAUGGUUACGUACCUUUAUUUAUGGCUAAUCUUUUCGGGAAAAGUGAGAUGUAUAUAUAGCAAUCUCUUUUUAUACAAUUGGUGAUCAUUGUUUAUUUUGUGUUCCUAUUUAAUGAUUGGCAACGAUGGACCUAUAUGUUCCCUCUAAUGAAAAGAAAAAGAAAAAAUAAAAAUGGAGUGCCAAAUUUGGAGCUUGUAUCCUUUUGAUUAUUUAAGUUUGGGGGCAAAAACUUUAGUUAGAUCGUAACAUAUUUAAAAUACAACUGAAAAAUGGAUCUAAAACGACUUACCCGUUGUAAGAUGUUCAGUUAUAAACUUGAAACUUUGAUCAAAAAAAUUGAAAUCUCUUGCGAAGUAUUUAGAAAUCUCUAAUUACGAAAGUUGAACCCCUUUCUGAAGAAAUUAUUGGCAUAAAAUUUGAAACCUGACACUUAUAGUAGUGAGUUAAUUGGAAUAAAACUUUAUGAGUGAAAAGUAUAACUUUGACAAUCUAAUUAAUUUUGUCGUUGGUGAAGGCAAUGUCCACUUCAAUCUUGAAAGAAACAUUGAACUUUGCACUAAGUAGGGGAUGUAUUGCACUAUCAUAUCAUUGAAAAAAAUAAAAAAAAUUAAUAAUGAAUAUAUCUUUAAAAUGGACCCACUAACAGGCUGCAAAUUAACAAGUUGCCUCCAUGAUUGAGUUUUUUCUAUUUACUAUUUAGUUUAGGACAUUUUUUCUUUUUCUUUUUUUUAAAAGUCAUUCAAAGAUAUAGUCCCAUUCUGCUCCCAUUACCUUCUCCACCUCUCUCUUAAGUCUUUAUUAUCAUCAUCAUCUCCUAAAAAUAGCAGCAGCAGAUAAAUUAUUAAACUUUGGCUAUCAUUAUUUUGUUGAUUGUAGGUGCUCAAUUAAUUUUGAAAAAUAUAAAUUAAAGGCAACAACAAGAUCACAACUUUUAAAUCAAAAGAUAUAUUUGAGCACUCAUGUUAAAUCAUCAAGAUCUUCAUAAAAUGCUAUAAUCUGUGGUUUUUCUUGUGUGUGUGUGUGUCUAUAUAUAUAUAUACACACACACAUAUAUAUGUAUCUCCCUUUCAUUUGAUGAAUACUAUCAAAAUUAUAACAAAUUUUAUAGUUACCGCUUCUUUACAAUGCAAUUGACCUUCUCAUCAUACACUUAUCAGAAUUCCUUUUGUCCAUGCGUCUCUCUUUCCUUAAACUAACCUUUUAGAACAAAAACUUUCAUAAUUAAUGUUAUUUAUAUGUAAUUAUUUUUAAGCACAAAAGUGUAUUUUUGGUUAACAUUAAGACCUACAUCUAUUUUUUUUUUUAAUUAAUUGAUGCACCUAUCAAGUUCGAACCCAAGAGUACCCAUCUGUUAAGAAGAUUGCUUCUUACUAUUAAAACUAAACUUAAGUUUCACAUUGAGCCAUUCAUCUCUUUGAACAUAAAGUUAUUCAAAGACAAAUACUUGUCAACAAUAUAUGAUAAAAUACAGGGGGGGAGGCCGUAUAAGAUUAGAGGGUGCCAUGGCCCUUACAGAAUUUUAAAAAAGUUUAGGGUUUUUGAAUAAAAUAUGAAAAGUUAGUGUAAAAUAUCCAUAUUGGUCCCUGCAUAAUUAGUGUAUAAAAUUGAUAUAUUAGAUAAUAUUAUAAUUUUACUGUUAAGCCCACUAAUAAUAGCAUCAAAAUAAUAAAAAAUAAAUCAACCAAACCCACUAAAGCUCACUAAAUCACUAAUAUGUAAUAACAAAAAAAUUAGAAGUUUAAAUUUGGCCCCCUUAAAAGUUUCCCUUGAGCUCCGCCUGAUAAAAUAUGUACCGUAUAUUAAUCAUUACAAAUCUUAAAAUUUUGUUUAACUGUCUUUUUUUUUUUUUGGUUACUAAUAUCAAUUUUUUGUUGUGUAAUUUUUGUAUGAAGAAAAAAAUUGGGUCUUGCAAUGAAAAAAUUGGGACGUAAUUAAAGGGUAAAGCAAAAUUUCUGAUCAAAGUGUUGUAGAUUCCAACUUUAUGAAAAUGAAAAAGCAUCAGGAUGAGAAGAGAACUUGCUAAAUGAAUACUACAAAAGCUUUUCAAAGUGCGAACAAAAUUCAUGAAUAAUAAAAUAGGAUUCUUAACCAAUCUCAUGAUUUUUUAAUAAAUAUCUUAAAAAUUCAACUAAAGAGACAUACCAAAGGUUUUAACUUAAUUAGUAAUAUAUUGUUAAUAAAUUGGCGUCAUCUCAUGUUGGAUUCAUCAUGGGAAGUUAGUAUUAUAGUAACUUUGAAAGCACAAGAAUAAUCUAAAAGACAAUCAAAUUUCAGAAUAAAAAAAGAGCAAUAAAAACACACAUCGUUAAAAGGAAUCCUUUUACACCUGAGUCAUUACAAAAGAUAAAGUUUCUUUUUGUUUUUGUUUUUCUUUUUUUUUUUUCAAUUUUGGGGGUAUCUAAUUUUUUUACUGAAUCAAAAAAUAUGACAGACAAAGAAAGAUCCUUGAAACCAUGCAGUGAAAACUAGGAAACAACAGAAGCAAAAAUAAUGGAUAAAAAGAAAAGGGGAGAAUAAAGAAAGAAACAGGCAAGGGACAGGUUAAAGAGAAGACCAGAAGCCAGAGCGACCCAUGUGCCUGCUCAUCAGUUUAAUGAAAUUUUAUGGUGCAGUUGCAGGCAUGAAUGAUUCAUAUCAUAUGGGGUCCUAUUUGUGCUUGUAUUGAGAAUGAAUAAAAGUCAGAGGAAGAGAGAGAAAAAUAAAAAAGAAACGUGGCUUUCGUGGAUGUGACUCUGCAUGGCUGCAUUUUGUCUGCUUCAUCCAGUUUUCUUUGUUUUAAUUUAUAAAUAGUUGCUUGAUCAAAAGGAUCGUCUCGUCUUGUAUGGUUGUUUAUAGUUCAUUAAUUUUAUACUAUCAAUGUUUGACAAAAGAUUCAAAUUAUCUUUUCAUCAUUUAUUAGAUUUCAUUUCUAAAUAUCAUGUUUAUCUACUCUUCCCUGAUAGCUAGUGUUUCUAUUUCUUUUCACCGCCGCAGAUACAAGGAUUACAAUAUUUUGUAUUGGGACCAAUAUGAAGAAAUGUACAACGUAUGUCUUUAUUUGUAAUGAUUUUGAAACUUCUGUUGAUAUGUCGUUCUCAUACCACGUCUUUCAGGGACGUGUCGUUUGAAGCGCGUUGCCCAGUUUCCUUUCCCAUCUGCCGCAGCCUGUAGACCUUUAUGGGCCUAGUUCCUAAAUGUCAAUGGCAAAUGAAACAUGAGAGCAGUAGUUUGAGGUGAAAGGACUGCCAAACUAAGUCGAUCUGAUAGCCCGCCCAAUUUAUGGAGGGACACUUAAAAAGCCCGGAAACCCAGAAAAUUGGAAAAUGUAGAGUACUUAUCAGUCAAAUUCAUCUCAUCAUACAUGGCAUAAUGCACUAGGCUCUGGGCUGGCACUAGCCUCACCGUUGGAAUGAAUAAUGAUAAUUGAUCCAAGACCGAACCCAGUCUCGAUAAACAAUGAUAAACUUCUCCAUAUGGCGAACGCAUCCAUGCAUCAAAUAGCCAGCCCCGGCUAGUCUUCGGUAAAUGGUCUGUCUGUGCUAAUACAGUUUGUUUUCAGACCAUUUAGUCGUGCUGAUUCAUUUAAUAUAAGCUGAUUCAUUUCAUAUAAGCAGUAUUUCGUGCAUCUGUUCAGUUAACCGUCUGACAUAGCCCUUCUAUCAGGUAUAGUUUUUCAUGCUUAGAUUCAACAUCAAGUAUCAACUCAGGAACUUCAAUCUUACAACUAGUUGCAUUACUUUUCACUUCUCAGAAUGCAGCUUGACCUUGCACAUAUUCACAUCUCAUUUAUCAUCCACCACUGCACGAUACAAAGAUGAUUGUCUCAUUGACACACAUAUAGGCACAUAUAUAAAUAUAAUUAGGGUCGGAUUAUAUUGGACUCACUCCACGGUGGAGCACUGAUGAUGACUGUACAAUUAUAGAGAUAAAUAUUAAAUCUGCACUUACUGGUAUAAUCUAACAGUGCUCCACGGAGCACUUCCACCGUAGCCACUGCCAAUUAUCAAAUGGAGUCCGACACUUUGAAAGAGUUAUAAAGAGUAAUCAAGUGGGCAGGAAAAUGCCAACUUUACCUUUUUUUUUUUUAGUAGAUAAAUAAUAACCAUAAGCCAGCCGGCAGGAUUUUAUUCACAACCUUAAUAUACAGAUAGACCAGAGAAACAAGAAAGUACUUCUUUACAUGAGGUGUUUUACAAGCGGUUCCAUUGAUGUCAAAAACCAAAGUUCAGUCCUCUGAGUACAGCCAGUACUCCGGUCCUACUAUGGUUCUACAGCUGUAUUGCAAAAUGAAGCCUAUGUUCUGUAUUCUAGAGUGACACUCAACCUUUGAGCUGUAUAUCAGAGUAUUACUAUUCACAACAUUUGAUGGUAUAUUGAAAGCUAGUGUACGAACAAAUUAUAUACAUUAGGAGAUUAAAGACAAACUUACAAAGCCUUUCAGUCUGCUAAUUCCGCUUGAGAUGAAGGUGACACCAAGGCUUCAACUGCAUCCAAGGUCCGUCCUUCAGCACUCACAACAUCAUAUGUGUUUGCUUGACAAUCUAUAACUGCAGGCUGGCAAUUUCCUUCCCUUGAUGCCAACAUCUUUUCACUUCCAUCAGUUCCAGCAUGCGAUGAUGACCCUGCUUGUGGAUGGAAGCACGGAACCUCGGCCUGACACCCUAGGCCAACUGCCUCACCAUUAGACUGCAAGCCACAAUCACCUUCCUUCAAAAUAGCAACACCAUUACACUGCUUUUGGUAUGGAAAAACACCCAACUCAUCAUCAAUCUUUCCUCUAAAGUCCGCCAAAAGGCUUCUAAGCCUCAAGAACUCUGCCUCAAGAAUCGCUUGCCCCUGUAAUUUCCUAACCAGUUGUUGGUUCAAUGUACGCAAUUUCUUGACUUCCUCUUCUAAAUAAGCUGUGUGUGCCUUCUUUUUCUCCCUAUACUUCCGAACUGCUUCUCUGUUACCCGAUGACCUCCUUGGUUUCGAAACAGAAUUUUCUUUGCUAUUCGAGUGAUUAUCUUCUUCUGAUGCAAUAACUUGGGUGUGUGUGUGGUAGCAUGUAUGCGUAUGUGCCGCAUCUGGCCCAGGAGGAUUGCAAGUGUGAGUGUGGGUGCAUGUUUUUGUGUUCUUCAAAAAUUCAUCAAGAAAUGAGUCUACAGAUGCCGAAUUAUGAAAAUUGCGGGAGAACUCCUGAUUUAACAACAGAGCAUGAUCUGAAAGCUCCACCUCUCCAUCAUCCAUGUUCUGUCUCAUAACUACAAACAAAAACUAUAUGCAGCUACACAAGCAGCAGUUUAUCUGCAACACCAAAAUCUCACUUAUUGGACCAAGAAUAACUAAUUAUACUUACAUGGAACCGAAUCAAAGAAUUCUCAUUUCAAUACCAAAAGUAGGAUUCUGUGAUUGCAAAUGAUAUGAUAAUCCAAGAAUAUAUGCUUAGCUAAGACCACUUGAUAUUCAAGACUAAUAAGCAGAACAAAACCCUAGACUCAGUCAAAUUUCAAAGGACAAAAGUUUAAUGGUUUGAGUACAACAUAACAAAAAUGCAACUCUUUGAGCAAUCCAAAGAACACCCAGAUGGAGAUUCUUCACAAGAAAUAUAAAAGCUAAUGAGGCAGGACCUUCGAUGUUGAAACCACUCAACAACCACUGAAGAGCAUCCAAGCUUCAAGUGGGGGAAAGAUGACCGACCAUGGGCUUCAAAUGUACAGAGAAAGAGAGGGAAAAAACAAAAACAAAAAAGAACAAGCAGAAAAAUCUGGAAUGCUCAUUAGUUUGUAGAUUUGAUUAGUAAAAUUACCUAAAUUUGGGUAAAGAUUCUGGCUCAGGCACUACGAUUGUUUCACUUGUCAGCCCAACUUUUACUCUAAGUGAACAGCAAUUAACAAGCAUCUCUUUUUAUCCGUAAUAGGCGUACAACUACAGUUGAAUGCUAAGUCAACAUCUGUACAAACAGAUGGCCUAAUCUAGCUGGUUUUUACUUCGCACGUUAUCAAUUUAUUCUGAACGUGUGAAUGAAAUCAUUUUAGGGAAAUUUUGAGGCACCGCCCACUUUCCACUUCAUAUUGAAAGAUUCCAUCAGUUUCUUUUUUUGCUUUUCUUUUUUAUAAUAAUUUUAUCAUUAUAAUAGUAUUGACUUGAUAUACGUAGUUCUUGGAAGAUAGUUUAUUUCAUUAUGAAAUAAUAAUACAAAUAAUACAAUUACAAACAGUCAAACAGUUCGUACAUAUUGAGUUAAAAAUAUCGCAUAAUCAUUUAUUCUUUUUAGAAAGAUACAAGAUAUUUGAGGGUGCAAAUCAUUAUUUGUCUCAUUUUACUAUUUUUUUAAACUUAAAUAAAUAAAUAAAUAAAUAGAGGCUGUGAGCCCACACUGCCCCGAAGCAGCUGCAUGUGUUGGGCUGGAUAUGGUGGCGUGCUGCUCACAUGGGCCAUCGAUUUGUUAUGUUGAUGAUCAACCGUUGCUUGUAUGGAACACCGGGCUCCUUUAACGGAGUGGUACCAUUGGCACCCCUCAAAAGUUCUUUUAAAACUCCACUACUGGUGUUUACACAUUUAACCUUGAUUGAAAUCACAAGAAUUCUUUAUACCCUCAUAUUUUUAAGAGGAACAGAAAAUUUUACCCCCAAAAAAAAAAAAAAAGAUAUCAAAUUGAGCCAUAAAACAACGAGCCUAUCCUUUGGUUGGAUCAAUUAGACUUUCAUUGGGAAGCUUUUCGUUUCCUUGGGGAAGAAAGCUUUUUUCAAGUUUAAUAAUGAAUAUAAAAUAAACAGAUAAAUAAAAACGAAUUAAGGAAAAGUGUAGGGUUAUUAGUUAUUGUGGCCUCUUCUUUAAAGUUUGUUUACCGCUCAUGGAAAAUAAUGUUUGUUGACUUUUACAAGCAGUUGAAUGUGAUAACUGGCCAUGAGAAUUUUAUUUUAUUGUUAUUAUUAUUUUGUAAGUUAAUUAAAGGUUCAAUGGAAAGGAACAGGAUAAGGUCAUUUGAGGAGGAAUUAAAAUGAAUUUUACUAGUAAACACAAUAAUUUUAGUUCUUUAAUUAAUGGGUGCAUUCAAAAUAAGAGUUUUAUAAGAUUAUCAGAGGGGUGCUAAUAGCUCCACUCCUUUUUAAUAUUUUAUUUUCAGCUAGUCCUUGCCGAGGAACCAGUUGUAAAGCUCAUUUGUUUUUGUUCCACCGACCGAGUCCCAUUUUAUGACAACGAAGUCUGAACAACAACAACGACAACAGCAGAUGCCCACAAGUUUCAAGUAUCAACCUUAACGUGAGCAUGAUGGUUUCCUUUGCGUACGGCUAACUGUCUCUUCAGGAUUCAACUUCUCUGUAACGAAAUUCAUGAUUUUGCCACGCUCCCUAAUUCUUUGUCAUCCAAUUUUUGUAGACUUGAUUAGUGACUAACUUUCGAUUGGCCUGCUGCACUGAGUUUAAAAAAAAAAAAAUCAGCCUAACCCCAUCAAAGGAUUAUGCCACACGCCACUGGUUUUUUGCCAUCUCACUCUCACGUCUUCCAGAAAAAUAAUUUCAAAGCUUCUAUACUCUCUGAAACACCAUGUGCCCCACAUGCUCUUUCUUCCAAAACUCUUUGGAAAAUUUCCCUGUGACUUAUGACUCAAUUUAAAAAAAAAAAAAAAAGAGUUAAAAUCACGGUUUAACAUUUUUUUUUUUCCUUUUGCCGACUGUUCCAUCUGGUUUAACAGUAAAGAUUUAAAGUGAAAAUGCAGUAUUUAGGCAGGUGUUUGCUUAUUAUUAAGUUGAGUAGAUUUAAAAAUGGUAAUGGGGCGGAUUAAGGUUCGGGACAGGAAUCAACUAAAAUCAGAAUUAAAAACAAUGUCUGAACCCGCCUCAUAUCCGAAAAUUCUCAAUAAAUAAAUAAAUACAAUUAUUUAGUUGAGUAAGUUAAGUUCAGUAAAAAAAUUUAUCUUUUCUCACUCUCACAUAGGUAUAAUCAGAAUGAAUAUUUUCAUAUUGAUAAAUGUUCGAUUACGUUUAAGGUAAGAAUAAUGGCCGAUAAGAAUUUUUAUCCUUGAAAUUUAUAACAAAUAUAAAAUUCAUUAUUUAUUUAUAGAAUGGGGAACACGUGGAUCCCAAAAAUAAAAGUCGCAAGAAAGAAAAUAUAAAUGGCAGCAGAAAAUACAAGCAUUUACAUCACAAGUACAUGAAGCAAGGCUAGAUUUUUCUAGUUGGAUAGCUACUCUUCCAAAAUUCACCCGGAAAAUUGCAAAAAUACGAUAAAUUCGUUUUUUUUUUUCUUUUCUUUUCUUAUAAAGGAAGAAGAAGAAGAAGAAGAAGAAGAAGCAAAUCGAAUAAUUCUCUGCAUAUAGUUUCGCACCAAUAUUGCAAAACCUCGGAUGACACUUCUACCUCCAAGGUAAAGGUAAUAAAUAAAUAAAUAAAUAACUUUUUUUAAAAUCUUUUUCAAUGUUGUUUAGUAUUAAUUAUUUGUUUUUGCGUACUUUUGCUUAGUUAUGCUUGAUCUGCUAAGAAGUUAUAGUGGCUUGCAUGCUGCAGUGAAUCAGCUUUUAACAAGUUUGUGGCCUUAAAUCUUCUGGGCAGUCAAGUUUAGACUUUUAUUUAAUUCAUACCUGGUUUUCUUUUCUUAUCAUUCUUGAAGCUGUGUUUGGUUGCCUGGAAAACUAUGGGCAAGAAGGAAAUUAAGAUUCUGAUAACUGUCUAUUGAUUUAUAACUUUAUAAGUAUGAUUUUCUGUUGAAUUGGGCCUGAGAAUUUGAUUUGAUUUGAUUCUGCUAUUUUUUGGAGCUUUCUUUUCCUCUUCUAAUUCUUUUGCAACCAAAUAAAUGGUAAGACUUAAAUCUUUGCUGAAGUAUUUGCUCUGCUUGAUCAUGACAGGGGAAAAAAAGUUAUCUGGGUAUGGAAAUUCUCUCCUAUAAUUGCCCUCCAAACUGCCAAGUUGUAAACUUGAGGUGGAAAUUAGUCAAGAAAGCCUCGCAAUCGUGCGAAUCAAAGCCCCCGUCAUUUAGAGAACACAGAAUUUUGUGUAUUAGGCGCGACUUUAGAAGUGGCUUUUCAGGAUAUUCUAUUAGCAGUUGGUGUUUCUCAAAGAAUCUCGAUCGUGAGAAAGGUUCUAAUUCAUCAAAUGCAGUUCAAGGUUUCAGAAAUCUGAAUUCACAGGUCUUGAGUGGGAGCUAUGAUGGUUAUGUAAUUGGUGGGGAAGAGGAUGCAGGUAGUUUCCCAAAAGAGAGGGAGGCGAUACCUAAGGUUUUAAUUCCGGGCUUGCCAGAUGAAUACAAUGGUGAAAGUGGUGCACCAAUAACUAGUUGUUUUUGGGAGUGGAAGCCUAAAUUUAAUGUGCAUUAUGAGAAGGCUGGGUGUGAAAAUGUGAAUUCCCCACCUGUCCUAUUUCUUCCUGGCUUUGGUGUUGGUUCUUUUCAUUAUGAGAAGCAACUAAAAGAUUUAGGAAAGGAUUAUAGAGUGUGGGCAAUUGACUUUCUUGGGCAAGGCAUGUCACUACCAGAUGAGGAUCCUACUCCACGUUCUAAGGAAGGAGAUAGCACAGAAGAGAAGAACUUUUUAUGGGGUUUCGGAGAUAAAGCUCAGCCAUGGGCAAGUGAGCUUGCCUAUUCGGUGGAUUUGUGGCAGGAUCAGGUUUGUUAUUUCAUAAAAGAGGUCAUUCGUGAACCCGUCUAUGUUGUGGGGAACUCACUUGGAGGAUUUGUUGCAGUUUACUUUGCUGCAUGCAACCCUCACUUGGUGAAGGGUGUUACAUUGCUCAACGCCACCCCUUUUUGGGGUUUUUCACCUAAUCCAAUAAGGUCUCCAAAACUGGCAAGGAUACUUCCAUGGUCCGGAACAUUUCCUCUGCCUGCUAGUGUGAGAAAGCUCAUAGAAUUCAUGUAUGAUAUUCUAUUUAUUGGCCAGUUAGGUCAUAUGAUGUUUAAGUAUUAAUUGGAAGAAGCAGAGUCCUUGUUUCUUUUCGAAACUCUAAUUUAUUGUUGCUUUCUUCUGUGGUUUCAGUUGGCAGAAAAUAAGUGAUCCUGAGAGUAUUGCAGAGGUGCUGAAACAGGUUUAUGCAGACCACGCUACUAAUGUCGACACAGUCUUCACUCGUAUCCUUGAGACAACCCAACAUCCUGCGGCGGCAGCAUCAUUUGCCUCAAUUAUGUUCGCUCCUCAGGGGAAUCUAUCCUUCAGGGAAGCUUUAUCUAGGUAGGUAGUACCAAAAUUUCCAGCUGCAACAUAAAGAACUUCUGCUUAUGCAUUCCCUGUUUGCUUUUGCUCCAAGUUAAGGACUUCCAAUUCCUUUCCUCGGUAGGUGUCAGAUGAAUGGUGUUCCCAUCUGUCUCAUAUACGGAAAAGAAGACCCCUGGGUGAAGCCUGUAUGGGGUCUUCAGGUGAAAAGGCAGGUACCUGAAGCUCCUUACUAUGAGAUCAGCCCAGCUGGUCACUGUCCUCAUGAUGAAGUUCCUGAGGUAUGCUCUCUGUGUCUCCUUUGACUGUGGAAAGUAGUAACUAGCAUGAAAGUCUUACAGGUUUGCUGUUCUGCUGUCUUGCAAAUGUAGAUGUCAGGUCUUUUGUGAUAUCUUCUCAGUUUAAAUUCCUCAAGAUCAACAGAUAGAGUUAGACAAGUUGUGGAGAUGCAUAGUUGAUAAUUGGUCACUCGGGAAAGAGGAAUAACACCGUCUUACAUAUUGGCAAGAAUAGUGGUAGUAGAAAUUUAAGAAUAGAGUGUGAAUAGAAGUGAACACAGUGAGAGUAUGCAGGUGAAAAGUUUUAGCAUUCCAGUAAAUUGGUAUUAUUCGUUUUUUAAUCUCCAGGAGACUCCAUUUUGUAAACUUGAAAGAUAAUAAGGAAUUCAUUUGGGGAGAAAUUUUAGUACUUCGUUGCAUUGUUGUAUUGCCAACUCAUGACCAGAGAACAAAACCAGCAAUUGUCAUAGGACUCGAUGGGACAAGCAUUUUUUUUCUCUUAGCAUUCAUUGGUAGCUUUUCUGAUUAGUAAUUUGACAUUUGCUUUUAUCAUCGCAUUUAUAGGUUGUGAACUACUUACUACGUGGGUGGAUUAAAAACUUGGAGUCCCAAGGUUUGGUGGCAUUACCUCUGCUUGAUGAUGAAGAAAACAUUCAGUAUGUCAUUGCCAGGGACUUGGAAUUUGUAAGAGAAGAAUCAAAGAAAUCAGUCAGAGUCCGCAUCUACGGAUCCAGGUUCUCACUCUGGAACCGGAUUGGCUCUUUCAUCAAAUCUCGCUUCAGGAAAGUAGAAAUGAACUCUUCUUGAUGACCGAGCUAACUUUUCCUUUGUUUUUUUUGGGGGGGGGGGGGGGGGGGGGGGGGGGGGGGGGAUGGUGUAGAUUCUCAAAUGUAUCAUAUAAAAGAAAUCGUUCAAUAGACGCAUUCAUUGUAUAAAUUAUUUUUGUCCACGUCAUCUUGUUAAUGCAUGGAUGUCGCGGAUAUUUAUGCUUUUGAAAUAUUCUCCAUAUUCUAAUUCUGGAGUUGGAAGAGUACGAAUUUCAAACCCCUUUAAUCUGGAGCAACCAAAUUUUCUUUCUUGUGUGAAAGAUAAAGGAGGUUUAGUUUCGAUGUUUAAUAAUUUAUCCAGUAAGUCCAGUUUUCAUUGAAAAAUAAAACAAAAUAAAAUAAGGAAAAAGGGGUAACAGAAUUUUAAAGGCGCCAACGGUCAGAGUCAGACUAGCGGAUCUGACAAGCUACAAAAUUGCAGUGGACGGGUUUUUAAGGAAUCUGACGAGAUGAGGGUGGUAUCAAUGUCAUUAUCAGGGAAAUUUCCCGCUGUUAAGAAUCGAAACCCUAAUCCUUCAAAAUUAUCAUCAUCAUCUUCAUCCGCAACACCCAUACGAUCACAAUCACAGUCAAAACGGACUACAAAUUCAAACUCAAGGUCAUGGAGUGUGUAUCUUAUCAUCUCCACCAACCCGCCGAUCAAGACCUACGUCGGUACCACCACAAAUUUUCCUCGUCGGUAAGCUGCAAUUUAAUUCUUUUUUGACUCAUUAUUCUGUAUGGCCAUAGAAAAUGGUCAUCUGGGUCUAAUUUGAAAUUUAAAAUUUGAAAUUUUUUUUUUUAGAAAUUAGUUGUUCAGAUUUAUGUAUCCGAUAAUUCGUUGAAUGCUGUAUGAUUCUAAUAUUUUGGAUUUUAUCUCAAAUCACAGAUUUUGUUGUUCUUACGAUUUCAUUCUCUGUAAUCCAAAGAUGCAGCUGCUGUAAUCCUUAAUUUGAUUGGGUAUAAUUGGGGUAGUUCAAUUUCUUUUGCCUUCAAAAUGGGUAAAUUCUGUUCUGUGUUUGACGAGGAAAUCUGCAGGCAAACUUGUUCGAAAAAAUUAUGCUUUUCUGGGUCACAUUAAAUUCGCUCUUUUUUCUUUUUUCCCGCCCAAACACCUCCCCCCCCCCCCACAAAAAAAAAGGGUUGAUUGUGUUUUGUUCUGUUUUUAUUGUGUAAAGAAUCCCGCUGCUGCUCAAAGUUGCAAUUUGAGUAUAUUUUGUUACUCUGAAUUUUCAAGAUAUUUUAUUCUGUUUAUCAUUAGCGCAAUAUUUACAUGGACAGUUUUUGCUGAAAACUGGAAGCUCUUACGCAGUUUGAAACAACAUAAUGGUGAACUUAGAGGUGGUGCGAAAGCAUCCCAAGCUGGAAGGCCAUGGAUUUCUGCAUGCAUAAUUCAAGGCUUUCAUGACCAAAGUGAUGGUAAUCAUCCCAUAUACACCAUCUUCAAAAUUGAAGUUUGGUGAAAAAUUUUGCACCUUUUGAUGUUGCUGGAAACUUUCUUUUUGUGCUUGUGAACAUGGCACGCCCUUAGAAUUAUGUUGGUCUGAUGUUCCUUAAAAUUUGCAGCUCUCUUUAUGACAAUGUAAUUUUUUUUUCCUUGAAUAAUGACCGGUAUAGAAUGUCCAAGAUGAAAAGAAAUCCCCAAGUUUCUCAUUUAUACAUUCAAGAAAUUCUCUCAAAGAUAGUAUAUGCACGGUGUUUGAAGCAAAAAAUUAGGGUAGUCGGAUUAUCAUGGAUACUUUCAUUCAGUUCUAAUUUAUUGUAAAAAGCUAUAUAUUGAAUAGAAAUGUGUUCAAUCGCAAAAUUAAAAUACAGUCAUCUGUAGUGUCUGCACUGUUAAGGUAGAAGUGUCUGCCUGAAUUAAUCCUUCUUAUGAUAUGCAAAGAUUGUGGUUUAGGUGGCAGGAUCCAUCAGUGAUGGUGAUGCAGCGAGUAGCUGCUUGACUUUCUAUUACAAUUUGAUCUAUGAUGCUAUCUUCUUAUUUAAUGGUUCAUGCAACUGAUUCUUUAGCAUAUUAUCUUCUACUUGUAGCUUGCGAGUUUGAAUCAAAGUGGAAAAGUAUCUCGAGGAGACUGCCGCGUAAAAGGAAGAAGAGUGAAGAUAGCUCACUUCACCUGCUGCAAAACAGGCAAACUGCUCUAAAUAGAGUGAAAGAAGUGUGUAAUUGCAGUCACUUGCAAAUUGAUUGGAAACUGAAUCCUCUUUGAAUUGUUCGGUAUAAUCCGUGGUGUUGGCAAUAUUCCUUUGACCUUUAAAGGUAAUUUGAUGUGCUAAUUUAAUCAUAAUGUACCUAGGCGAAAAUGCAUCCCUAUAAACCAUUGUUUUUGCACUCAAAUAGUGAAAAACAUUUGUUGUAUAAAGCAACAGAAAUGGUUGAUUUGAUGGUUAUUUCUCAAAAUUUCUUGUUCGUUGGCUCCAAAAAGUUGAUGCUUCAAAUAAACUUCUUUUUACUUGCGGCGCCAUCGACAGAGAACCUAAUUGACCAGUGAACAAAACAAGCGAUCGUUUGUUGUUAUUAAUUCUUUGGUUGAAUAUAUUUUCAAAUAAACAAAUCAGUUUGUCAAAAUUGCAUUGCCACAUGGAGAGCUGCAAAUUUUGUGUAACAUAAAGACGAGUAAUUCUAUGGGCGUGCCAUUAACAAGCAGAGUACGAAAAGAAAAUUUCCAGGAACAUCAGAAGGUGCAACAUUCGCCCUUAAUAUAUAUAGAUAGAUGCAAGGAAGGAAAAAUUCAUGUGUUGUCGAAAGAAAUUCCUUCUAUUAAUUCUAUAAGACACCAUCUGGCCUAGUCCGAACGGCAGGAACGCGAUGCCGGUAUGGCAUCCCAACUCUCUUUCUUGAUUUAAGUAUCUUUCGUGGCCAGAAGGCCUCUGUGUCUCGGCAAACUGGCAAGGGAAACCGGCAGAAUGGACACAGGUGACUCUUAUCCAGCCAUUUUUCUAAACAGGCUCCAUGGAAAUCAUGGAAGCAAGGCAGCCGAGUAAUCUCCUCUCCGUCACAAAACCCUCCCAAGCAAAUAGCACACUGGUCCUCCAGGCAAGAACCCUUUUCAUAAACCACCUUUUCUAAAUCCCCAACAGCUGAUUCUAAAGCAGGCACGCUGUUGUGAAUUGAUCUCCCCAAUCUCUCAGUCCAAGCAAGGUCUAAACCUUGAGUGUACGGCUUCUUGUAAAAGACCCUAAGCGACAUUGCAACAGGUAUGCAAUCACGGGCAGUAUUUCGAGGGUCAUUGUCCAUCAACUUAGCUUUUGUUGCAACCAUCUUUUUUAUGCUCUCUUUAUCAACUUCAGUGAGUGGCAUCAACUCCAACAUACGGAUGAACAUGUUAUCAUGAACCGUGUUGAUUUCAUCAAGCAGAGUAGUUCGAGCAAGAAAGUCUGUCUCCUUCACUGAACGUACAUUCAUGUGGCACCGAUGUGGAAGGUAUUCCACUACAAAAUUAACAUACAACUUAACAAAAAAGGUAGCCGGCUGAUCUGGUUUUGGUGGAGCAACGUCUCUGCCAUGCUCCUGCCACAUAUCGAACAAGAAACUCGUUGCUUCUUCCAUUGAUUUCCUUUUGCUCUUUAAUUGAUCGGGAACCUUAAAGCAAGCAGCAAUCUGUAGAUCGGGCAGCUGAGUACUUAUUUACUUUUGUAGUGGCAGAGAAUUCCUUGUUUGUCAAGGAAACUAUUAUGUUUCCUAACGCAGUUUAGUUUCCUAAUCCAUUUUAGGUUGUAAUAUCAAAUACGGAUCGUAUAUUUGAAAAAAAAAAUUAAUAGAAAAUCCGGUUCGGGUAUUAUUCAUCAAAAAACAGUAUGUCGUUUGGUGUGGGUAAUCAUUACAUAUGUUCAGAUAUUAUGCAUUAAUUUCCUUAUUAACCUUGACAUACUUGUUCGUUCGGUUUUUGUUAAUUUGAAGUUUAAUAAAUGAAAUGGGGUAAAAGUUCGUUUAGUCUCUAUAUUUUGAGAUUAGUGCUCGUUUAGUCCCUAUAUUUUUAAAAAUAUCUCAAAGCAUCCUUAUGAUUAAAUUAUCGACACUCUUGCCAUUACCUUUUGUUCAUUUUGACUUAUUUUUACAAUAUUACCCUAUUACAAUAAUGUUUUCUUUUUUAAAACAUUAUUAAAAAAAAUUAAAUUACAAGUUUAAUACCAAAAAAUAAAAUAAAAACAAAAAAUAUAUAUUAAUUUUUGUGGAACACUCUCUUGAGUUAAAAUAUUAAUUUUUCUAAAAAAAUUGAUAAUCUAAUUUUUUACAAUAUUAAUUUCUUUGGACAUACGUGAGCUUCCACAAAAAUUAAUAUAUAACGUUUUUGUUUUUAUUUUAUUUUUUGGUUUAAUUUGAUAAUCUAUUUUUUUAUUAAUAUCCAAAAAAAAAAUUAUGUAAGAGUGUAAUAUUGUAAAAACAAGCUAAAAAAAAAUAAAAAAACAAUGGCAUGAGUGUUAAUAUUUAGUAACAGGGACGUUUUAAGGUAUUUUUAAGAAUAUAAAGACUAAAUGAGCACUAACCUCAUAGUAUGGGGACUAAAUAAGCUUUUACUCUUAUAAAUGUGUACUAGUACUAAUCCAUUUUGAAUAAGAUUAUGUCAAGGUAAACAAUCAUUUUUUGACUUGCAUUGUCAACCUAAAAUUAUAAACUUCUUUUUCUAAAUUGUCAAAAUUAAUUUUGUUUAAUUUACAGUGUGCCAAUGACCUCCUUAAGGCAAAGAGAAAUAAUUGAAUAAUUUUGUGAUAGUUGCAAUUAGGGAACUAUCACACAUUGAAAGCCGCAAUUUGCUUGACCUUGAUUUUGAUUUGAAAGGAUAAUGAUAUUUGAGAAAGGCGGAGAAAGCAGGAACAAAAUUUUUUUGUCCUUUUACUUCAAUAAUUUUAUUUUAAACAAAUCCAGAAUUCACAUGAGCUAGAAUCGUUUUCCCACUUUCGUUAAAAUUCAUUUUCCAGUCAAAAAAAACAAAGUCAAAAACUGGAAGCUGAGAAAAGAUGUAUGUGAUGUGAUGAUGCUCACAACUCAAAAAGCAAUAAUAAUUAAUACAAAACAAAAAAAGAAAAAAAAAUCAGAAUAUGUCCUCCAAUCAUCAUCAAACUUCUUAGAUUAGACCUGCUGCAUAUAUCAAAGUUAGGGAUAACAAUGGAUGGUAUCUGACCCGAGAUUAAGUGACUCAAAUUUAAUCGGAUCGAAUUUGGGUAUGAUUAAAAUAGAUUUGGAUCGAAUUUAGAUAUUGAUGUGUGGAUCUAAGGUGGAUUUGGAGCAAGUUCGGAUUUAUUUUAAUAUUUAGAUCCACAUUCAUAUCUACUCACCAUUUAAUGUAAUUUUAUUUUAAAAAUUUCUUAAUAAUUAUGUAAUUAUAAAUGAUAAUAAAAUUUAUAAAUGAUGAUAAAAUUUGUUCAUUAGCAUGUAUUUAAGAAUCUUAAAACUUAAAGGUAUUUAAAUCAUAAUAAGAUAAAAGUUUAUCAAGUGUAAAAUAAAAUUAAGAUAGUCUGCCUUAAUUUUUUUAAGUUUUUCACUCUAUAAUUUAGUCUCUUUUUUUCUCUUUAGUUUAUUCUCGCUUUUUCACUUCAUUUGAAUGCUUGGAUCAGUCCUUUAAUUGUUAGAAAAAUCUAUAGACUUGAGUUUUUUUUUAAUCAUUUUCUCAUAAUCUUAUUUAUUUUGUAUAAUCACUAAUGAGUGGUGGCUAUCAACUAUAAAAUAAUUAUGUUAAUCAUAUAUUUAGUUAAAUAUGAUCAUAAUAAAAAUAAUAAAACACUGAAUAUAGUAAAUCAUUUUUAACUUAUAUGUUAUUAUUUAAUGAUAUAAGAAUAAUGAUGGUGUGUCGUGGAUAUCAGAAUGGUAAAAGAGAUAUUAUAAUAUUAUAAUAAUUUUAUUCCUGCAAUUACUUUUGAUGGAUAUUUUAUUAUCUUUAUUAUUUGUUUAUUUUGGUGUAAAAGUAGAAGUUACAAUACUUAUUAGAUUUUUUAUACAAAUUAUAUAAUUUAAUUAUUGCCAAUGCAUUUUAGUCUUAAAUUUUUUUUUAAAAAAAAAUAUUGAUCUCCUAUUAUUGAAGUUUAGAAUUCAUGACGGUAGAGCAUAUUUGGAUUUUAAUUUUUGUUUUUGGAUUUGAUGCACGUUAAUUAAUAUAGAUCCGGAAGAAAAGAAAGCCAAAAAAGAAGAAGAAGAAGAAGAAAAGAAAAAGAAAAGAAAGGAAAGGUAGAAGAUCAGACGAACAUUCAAGAUCAAUGGAGGGUGAGAUGAAAAAUUUCAUAAAGGUAUGGCUCUCAGUUACAAUAUCUUUAUGCUAUUGCCAUGCCAUUGGUAAAAUGGUCUCCAAAGGCAUCAAAAGACUCAGUUGUCUAAUCCCGGUUGUAUGUCUCUUCCUUUAUCUUCCGCUUUGUCUCACUUCUGUUCAUAUUGGUGGCACCACAGCAUUUUUCAUUACUUGGCUUGCCAAUUUCAAGCUCUUGCUCUUUGCUUUUGGCUUAGGCCCCUUGUCGUCACAUCCACCAAUCUCUCUUCCUCUUUUUGUGAUUGUUUCUUGCCUCCCCAUCAAGAUCCAAAAUAAUAACAACCCUAUUCCUGGCGCUCGAGAAGGCCCUCUGAAUUAUACAAUCAAGGGUCUGCUUGUGGCAAUUUUGGUUCAACUACAGCUAGCUUAUGAAUACAGCGACUAUAUUAUCUCUGUUCAUCCAAAACUCAUCUUGCUUGUCUAUUCCCUCCACAUGUAUUUUCUCCUUGAACUCAUAUUAGCCGCCAGUGCAGCCGUGGCUCGAGCCAUGCUAGGGUUAGAACUGGAGCCUCAGUUCAAGAAGCCGCAUCUUUCGACUUCAUUACAAGACUUUUGGGGCAAGAGAUGGAACCUCAUGGUCACCGGCAUCCUACGCCCCACCGUAUACAAACCCAGCCUACACGUCUUUACACGUCUAACCGGUCGGAAGUGGGCUCCACUCCCAGCCAUUUUCGCCACGUUUUUGGUGUCCGGUUUCAUGCAUCAGCUCAUAUUCUUUUACUUGGGCCGCGGCGCCGGCUUGAAAGCCACGUGGGAAGUCACGUGGGUCUUCGUUUUGCAUGGGUUUUGUGUAGCGGUCGAAGUGGGUUUGAAGAAAGCGGUUGCCGGUCGGUUCCGGUUACCGAGGAUAAUAACGGUUCCGUUGACCGCGGCAUUCGUGAUGGUUACCAGCUGUUGGCUGUUUUUUCCACAAUUCAGCCACUGUAAACUUUAUGAACGGGCGUUUGAAGAGUAUGCGGCUUUGGGUGCGUUCUUCGGAAAUGUUUGGUCAUGUUUUGUACGCGCUUGCAAGGCUAAUUAACAUUUUUUUUUUUUUAUCUUUUUUUUCCAACUACAUAGAAAAACAAUUAAAAAAAAAAAAUCUUCCCUCGAAGAUUUGCAGCUCCAUCUACAUAGUUAUUUUGGCUUGUUUUUUUAUUUUCUUUUUUAAUUAUGAGUUAAACUAAUAGGAAUCAAUCAACCGAUUGGCUUUGUUUAGGAUAAUAGGCAAUCCCCAAUCCCUACUCAUUUCAUUUGUUACUCUCUGUGUUAUAAUUUUGCACCAACAAUGAACAUGAAGGAUCCACUUACCUUGCAACAGUUGCAUAGUACCAUAAUUUUGUCAUUUGUCUGAUUUAGGAAAAGUGACUACACACCCCUUUUCAGAUGUCAGUUUUGUAUUAUAAAUACAUAGCAGCAAUGGGAUCCACCUAUGUUAUAAAUAGCAGCGGAUUGUUCAAUACAACCACCUAUUUUAUUGUAUUUUAAAUACAAUACAGUAUUUUAGAUGUUUUAUUAUUCAAUCUAACGGCUGCAAAUUUUUUUUUUUUAAAUCAAAUAGCCACUAGUCAAUGGUGCGGUUGCUUUGUAUAAUUAGGGUUCUCGUUUUGCCGCCGUCAUGGAGAUGGGUGAAUCAAUGGCCACCAGGCACCAAAUUCAUGACCAAUCAAUGGCCAACAAGCACCAAAUUAAUGCCAAGCACCCCAACCACCACCGAUUAAUUGCAAGUUUAGUGUUUUAAAGUGUAGAAUUUGGAGAAGCACUUGCUACUAUAUCUAGGUGUUAAUGGUGCAUUUGAGAUUGAAGUUAAACAGUUAUAGAUUAAAAGCUCCAGCACUAAAGUAUUUAGUAAACAUUAACUGCUGUAGUUUAGAAGUUAUCUUAUAUGAUUUUUCACUUGUAUGAUGCAAAAUAUAUUAUAUCUUUAAUAAUUUUGUCUAAAUUAUUAUUAAAAAUUAUAUUUACUAUAUAUUAUUAAUUUUUAUUUCAUAAUUAUAAUUUUUUUUUUCCACAGCAGCCUCAAUCCCAAAUAGGCUCUAAAUCAUCAAAAACCAAUUUGGUUUGGACUCUUCAAUUUCAAUUUGACUCGUACACCAAAGCCACCCAACAACAACUCAACAAAUGAAUCACUCAUCCUAAUAGCAUAACAAUCUAGUUGUCGACUGCCUGCACGUGAGAGACCCUUUUCUUAUUCAUGAUCGGAAUUGUUGAAUUAAUUUUACAAUUCUCUUGUACCAAUUUUCAUUAUAUAUGCUACCUCAAGAAGUGAAGAUCGAUGUCGGAAUCACUUUCAGUUUCGAUUACAUGAUGUUUGCGAUCUUCUUAUACCAAUUUCGGUCCACAGUUGUCUCAAAUAUUCAUGUUCGUCAACUCUUAUUUGUAUUAAAGCAACCGCCUAAACCGUUAACUAGUGGCUAUUUGAUUUUAAAAAAAAAAAAUUUGCACCCGCUAGAUUGAACAAUAAAGCAUCCAACGGCUCUGCCAAAUAAAGACAAAAAGUGUGGUAUGGUGCAACUGUUAUAACAUAGUUGGAUCCGCUGCAACGAUGAUUUUAUAUGUAACAUAUGUUAGAUAGGAUAAUGAAAUGAACUUAUUAUUUUUUUAUCAUACCCAACUGAAAUGAAACAAUUUUCUUAAUUACUAUUAGUGUGAUUAUUAUGACAAAUAAAAUACACGUCGUUUGGAUUAACACUUUUAAUUUUAUUUUGGAAGCAAAAUUAAUCUUACUUCAUAAAUAUUUGAUUAAAAAAUUAUAUUACUCUAAUUAAUUUAAUUUCACCAAACUUUAAAAGCUACCACCCAUAGUAACUAGGUGGGGAAGUAAAAUUAAUCCAUAUUCAUGCAUGAGUUUUUCUAAAACGAAAUGAGCCAUUUCAAAUAGGUUAAUUAUUUUAGCCCAUAAGUCGAUUAAUUCGGCAUGGACUACAUGAGCUCCCAACAGUUUAUUGGAUAAAUUGAUAAGUUGAGCAUUAAAGAGCAUUUUUAUGGGUAGAACUUCCUUAGGAAAUAAAAGGUUAUCAUGAGGCUCGUCCCGGGUCGCCAUCUAAGUAAGAAUACCCUUGUUUAAAAUAUUAUUUAUUUGAAGAAAUUCUCAAAUUCAUGAUAUUUCACUGCAUUGGAUUUUAUGGGAAAUAAAGUUAUAAACACACAGGUUUAGGGCUAGUCUGAUUACUCUAAGAGCACUCAUCCAUAAACUGAAUACCGGUACAAAUAACUUUUAAAAAAAAUAUAACCACCGUUUAUUGGAAAAAGCAACCCCUAAGAAGAUAAGGAGAUCUUUAUUACUUCAAAUUACUGAUUUUUUCUCGACUUUUUACUUUGAUUAUUUACUUCUUCACGUUGCAAACUUUGGCGAUUAUUUACCUGCUUACUAAAGGCGCUCUACUGUUCAAUUCAACUCGGUUCAUUAGAAAAUAUUUUUUUUUUUUUUGUAAAAAAAGAUAGAAUGUGAGUUGAAUAUAUCUAAGAGGGCUCGCUUCCAUAGAAGCUGGUGUGUGUUUCUAAAUGAGAAUGGAAAUAUCAUGGAAAGGACUAUUAUAAUUGGAGACAAAUAAUUAAUUUUCGCUCGAUCUAUUAUGCUUACUGGUUAGUAGGUUACGUUUAGUCCCUACUUGUCCUCUCAUGUAACUACUAUAGUAAUAUUAAAGUUUCAAUUGCUUAUUUUGUUCACCGUUGGACACACGGAGAGAUUGAGAUUUGUUAAUGCAUUAUCCAACCACUCACACUAUUUGACAACUAGAAUUUUGCCUUCGGAGCCGAGACACCACAAUCUCAAAUAAAGCCCAAGUCGAAGGGUGAUAUCUGCAAUGAGGAGAAUUAAUUGGCCUCCCAAAGCUGUCUUUGUCAGGCCUGCCUCUUUUUGGGGUACUUACAGGUCUGGCCCAUUAUUUUGGGUAUCUGACACAUAAUGAAACGAGAUUGUCCCAGAAAGCCCUCGAAACAUAUGAAGCAUACGAGGGAGACUGAAUACGUAUUUGGAGUAAAAAGCGAGGUUUUUUUUUUUUUUUUGAUAAAAAGGUCUCCCUUUUAAGCAUUCAACUAAUGAAUAAAUACAAAUGGUGGGCUGGAAUGUUAUCCAUCCAAAGUACAACUUCAGAUUGCUCCAAGGCUAAUCUAGCUAAAUUGUGAGCUAUUACAUUACUGGCUCUUGGAGUAUGUUGAAUUGAUAUUUGUUGCUGCCUCCUAAUAUAAGCUUGCAAAUCAGAUAUAACCCAAUAAAGUUCAGUUCUUGUGCUUUUCUUGUUCAAAACCAGAUCUACAACCUCCUGUGAAUCAGUUUCUAUGAUUAAGGGCCAACAUCCCACCUUUUCUGCAAUUUCAACACCAAGUCUUGCAGCCUCUGCUUCUGCAUAAGCUACCUCUAGCUGGAAACAAGAAGGUUGCAUAGCUGUUGCUAUUACUUUGCCUCUAAUCACAGCACCCAGACCAACUCUUCUCUACUCAACCGCAACUGAUGCAUCCACAUUAACUUUGAAACAACCUGCUGGUGGGGAUUGCCAUUUGGAGGUUACAUUAGAUUUUUUCUCUAAAGAUGCCUGUAGUUGUGGCAGCCGAAUCUUUUUGUAAGAAUGAACCACUGCAUCUGCUUUAGCAGCUGAUAAUUGAGAAUCUUCCUUCUUAUUUUCAAAGAUAAGAAGAUUCAUUGCCAUGCCAAAUAGCCCAAUAAGUAGCAACUAUCAGCUCCAUAUCUGAGGUACUCCUUUUACCUGCCAUCUCUUGCAAAAAACUGCGCAUAUCUCACCGCCCCCCCCAGGAGCCUGACAUGAUCUUCAAAAGGGGUCAUCCUCCAAACUUUUUUAGACACUUUGCAGCUAACAAGUGCAUGGUAAAUGGACUCCUCUGUUCUUCUACAUCUCUGACACCAUGGGCUUGAGAGGAUUUUCUUCUUCCAAAAAUUUUGAGCAAUAGGUAACAAAUUCCUUGCUGCUCUUCACAUGAAUAUCUUUACCUUUGCUGGAAGUUCUAGAGACCAGAUUGCUUUCCGUGGAGAUUUUUGUUUGUGUGAGCUGGUGGCUUGGUCUUGAGAGUGUGUUUUAUUUAUUAGCUAGAAGACUGAAUAAUGCCCUGUCUUCUUAGAGUUCCCACAAAAUCUUAUUGCUUGGCCUUUCUCCGAAAUUAUCAUACACCUUUCCUUAUCCCAUUAGUUUAAAAAUCCCUAUAAACCCACUAUUGUAAUCGUAUGCCAAUUACAAAUUUAACCAUUAGUUGAGCAUUAAAAAAAAAAAAGAGAGACAUUGUAUUCUGACCUGUUAAGGAAUCAGUUGGAAUGUUGGGUGAACGUUAAUUUUGAUGAUUACAAUAGCUAUGCAUUGAGAAAAAUGUUGAUAAUGUAUUGCCCUGUUGGCAAAACCCUAAUAAUUUGGGUGGGAAAAUCCAUUGUGUUAAUAGGUUUAUAUGACCAAUACAAAUUAAGAAAUAUUGAACUCUCACGUGCCAAUUCCGUGGGAGUUAUGGCAUAGCUUUCGGUAUCUGGUAAAAUGGGAAACGUUUGGUGCCCAAUGAUGAAAACACAUUUUUGGGGUCCAUUAACCGCGCAUUAUAAAUAUAAAUUGCGUGGCAAGACGGACUACUUGUUUAACGCAUAUAUAUUGGGACCAUGGAGGUAUUUUUGUUUCAUACCCUGCUUCAAAUAUCAAUAUUCUUUUUUAAUUAUAUUACGAUCAACCGACGUUAUUAUAAUAAAAAAAAAAUUUAUGCUUUUCUGGGUCACAUUAAAUUGGCUCUUUUUUCUUUUUUCCUCCCCAACACCCCCCCCCCCCCCCCCCAACAAAAAAAAAGGGGUUGAUUGUGUUUUGUGGUGUUUUUAUUAUGUAAAGAAUCUCGCUGCUGCUCAAAGUUGCAAUUUGAUUAUAUUUUGUUACUAUGAAUUUUCAAGAUAUUUUAUUUUAUUCUGUUUAUCAUUAGCGCAAUAUUUACACGGACAGUUUUUGCUGAAAACUGGAAGCUCUUACGCAGUUUGAAACAACAUAACGGUGAACUUAGAGGUGGUGCAAAAGCAUCCCGAGCAGGAAGGCCAUGGGUUCCCACAUGCGUAAUUCAACGUUUCCAUGACCAAAGUGAUGGCAAUCAUCUCAUUUAUUGAUACACUAUCUUCAAAAUUGAAGUUUGGUGAAAACUGCUUGUGAACAUGGCAUGCUCUUAGAAUUAUGUUGGUCCGAUGUUCCUUAAAAUUUGCAGCUCUCUUUAUGACAAUGUAAUUUUUUUUUCCUUGAAUAAUGACCGGUAUAGAAUGUCCGAGAUGAAAAGAAAUCCCCAAGUUUCUCAUUUAUACAUUCAAGAAAUUCUCUCAAAGAUAGUAUAUGCACGGUGUUUGAAGCAAAAAAUUAGGGUAGUCGGAUUAUCAUGGAUACUUUCAUUCAGUUCUAAUUUAUUGUAAAAAGCUAUAUAUUGAAUAGAAAUGUGUUCAAUCGCAAAAUUAAAAUACAGUCAUCUGUAGUGUCUGCACUGUUAAGGUAGAAGUGUCUGCCUGAAUUAAUCCUUCUUAUGAUAUGCAAAGAUUGUGGUUUAGGUGGCAGGAUCCAUCAGUGAUGGUGAUGCAGCGAGUAGCUGCUUGACUUUCUAUUACAAUUUGAUCUAUGAUGCUAUCUUCUUAUUUAAUGGUUCAUGCAACUGAUUCUUUAGCAUAUUAUCUUCUACUUGUAGCUUGCGAGUUUGAAUCAAAGUGGAAAAGUAUCUCGAGGAGACUGCCGCGUAAAAGGAAGAAGAGUGAAGAUAGCUCACUUCACCUGCUGCAAAACAGGCAAACUGCUCUAAAUAGAGUGAAAGAAGUGUGUAAUUGCAGUCACUUGCAAAUUGAUUGGAAACUGAAUCCUCUUUGAAUUGUUCGGUAUAAUCCGUGGUGUUGGCAAUAUUCCUUUGACCUUUAAAGGUAAUUUGAUGUGCUAAUUUAAUCAUAAUGUACCUAGGCGAAAAUGCAUCCCUAUAAACCAUUGUUUUUGCACUCAAAUAGUGAAAAACAUUUGUUGUAUAAAGCAACAGAAAUGGUUGAUUUGAUGGUUAUUUCUCAAAAUUUCUUGUUCGUUGGCUCCAAAAAGUUGAUGCUUCAAAUAAACUUCUUUUUACUUGCGGCGCCAUCGACAGAGAACCUAAUUGACCAGUGAACAAAACAAGCGAUCGUUUGUUGUUAUUAAUUCUUUGGUUGAAUAUAUUUUCAAAUAAACAAAUCAGUUUGUCAAAAUUGCAUUGCCACAUGGAGAGCUGCAAAUUUUGUGUAACAUAAAGACGAGUAAUUCUAUGGGCGUGCCAUUAACAAGCAGAGUACGAAAAGAAAAUUUCCAGGAACAUCAGAAGGUGCAACAUUCGCCCUUAAUAUAUAUAGAUAGAUGCAAGGAAGGAAAAAUUCAUGUGUUGUCGAAAGAAAUUCCUUCUAUUAAUUCUAUAAGACACCAUCUGGCCUAGUCCGAACGGCAGGAACGCGAUGCCGGUAUGGCAUCCCAACUCUCUUUCUUGAUUUAAGUAUCUUUCGUGGCCAGAAGGCCUCUGUGUCUCGGCAAACUGGCAAGGGAAACCGGCAGAAUGGACACAGGUGACUCUUAUCCAGCCAUUUUUCUAAACAGGCUCCAUGGAAAUCAUGGAAGCAAGGCAGCCGAGUAAUCUCCUCUCCGUCACAAAACCCUCCCAAGCAAAUAGCACACUGGUCCUCCAGGCAAGAACCCUUUUCAAAAACCACCUUAUCUAAAUCCCCAACAGCUGAUUCUAAAGCAGGCACGCUGUUGUGAAUUGAUCUCCCCAAUCUCUCAGUCCAAGCAAGGUCUAAACCUUGAGUGUACGGCUUCUUGUAAAAGACCCUAAGCGACAUUGCAACAGGUAUGCAAUCACGGGCAGUAUUUCGAGGGUCAUUGUCCAUCAACUUAGCUUUUGUUGCAACCAUCUUUUUUAUGCUCUCUUUAUCAACUUCAGUGAGUGGCAUCAACUCCAACAUACGGAUGAACAUGUUAUCAUGAACCGUGUUGAUUUCAUCAAGCAGAGUAGUUCGAGCAAGAAAGUCUGUCUCCUUAACAGAACGUACAUUCAUGUGGCACCGAUGUGGAAGGUAUUCCACUACAAAAUUAACAUACAACUUAACAAAAAAGGUAGCCGGCUGAUCUGGUUUUGGUGGAGCAACGUCUCUGCCAUGCUCCUGCCACAUAUCGAACAAGAAACUCGUUGCUUCUUCCAUUGAUUUCCUUUUGCUCUUUAAUUGAUCGGGAACCUUAAAGCAAGCAGCAAUCUGUAGAUCGGGCAGCCAAUUCCUUGUUUGUCAAGGAAACUAUUAUGUUUCCUAACGCAGUUUAGUUUCCUAAUCCAUUUUAGGUUGUAAUAUCAAAUACGGAUCGUAUAUUUGAAAAAAAAAAAUUAAUAGAAAAUCCGGUUGGAUAUUAUUCUUUAAAACACAGUAUGUCCGUUUGGUGACGGUAAUCAUGACAUGUGUUCAGAUGUUAUGCAUUAAUUUCUUUAUUAACCUUGACAUACUUGUUCGUUCGGUUUUUGUUAAUUUCAAGUUUAAUAAAUGUGUACUGAUGCAUUUUGAAUAAGAUUAUGCCAAUGCAAACAAUCAUUCUUUGACUUGUAUUGUCAACCUAAAAUUAUAAACUUCUUUUUCUAAAUUGUCAAAAUUAAUUUUGUUUAAUUUACUGCUUAAGGCAAAGAGAAAUAAUUGAAUAAUUUUGUGAUAGUUUCAAUUAGGGAACUAUCACACAUUGAAAGCCGCAAUUUGCUUGACCUUGAUUUUGAUUUUGAUUUUGAUUUGAAAGGAUAAUGAUAUUUGAGAAAGGCGGAGAAAGCAGGGACAAAUUUUUUUUGUCCUUUUACUUCAAUAAUUUUAUUUUGUUUUAUUUUAAACAAAUCCAGAAUUCACACGAGCUAGAAUCGUCUACCCAGUUUCAUUAAAAUUCAUUUUCCAAUAAAAAAAUACAAAGUCAAAAACUGGAAGCUGAGAAAAGAUGUGCGUGAUGUGAUGAUGCUCACUACUCAAAAAGCAAUAAUAAUUAAUACAAAAGGAAAAAAAAUAAAAAAUCAGAAUAUGCCCUCCAAUCAUCAUCAAACUUCUUAGAAUAGACCUACUGUAUAUAUCGAAAUGUUUCGACAAUUUCAAGCCUACCUCAAUAGAAAAGAAAAGUGAACAUUGCCUUUUUAUUUAUCAGGAGCUGAAAGAUGGUGUUUAUAAGUUUAUUAAACUAAAUAAUAUAAAAUACCAUAGGGUCCGCUUUCAUGACUCUUGGAUCCCAAAGAAGAAAAGUAAAGAAAGUAUAGUCUUCUUCUACCUAGGAAAAAUAAAAUAAAAUAAAAUCUGCCCAUCGAUCAAGCCAAAAAGCAUGAUUAGUUAAUAUACAUCCAGAAGAAAAGAAAGCAAAAAAAGAAAAAAAGAAAAGGAAGGAAAGGUAGAAGAUCAGACGAACAUUCAAGAUCAAUGGAGGGUGAGAUGAAAAAUUUCAUAAAGGUAUGGCUCUCAGUUACAAUAUCUUUAUGCUAUUGCCAUGCCAUUGGUAAAAUGGCCUCCAAAGGCAUCAAAAGACUCAGUUGUCUAAUCCCGGUUGUAUGUCUCUUCCUUUAUCUUCCGCUUUGUCUCACUUCUGUUCAUAUUGGUGGCACCACAGCAUUUUUCAUUGCUUGGCUUGCCAAUUUCAAGCUCUUACUCUUUGCCUUUGGCUUAGGCCCCUUGUCGUCGCAUCCACCAAUCUCUCUUCCUCUUUUUGUAAUUGUUUCUUGCCUCCCCAUCAAGAUCCAAAAUAACAACAACCACAACAGCAAACCAAACCCAUCUCAAGAUAACAACCCUAGUCCUGGCGCUCGAGAAGGCCCUCUGAAUUAUGCAAUAAAGGGUCUGCUUGUGGCGAUUUUGGUUCAGCUACAGCUAGCUUAUGAAUACAGCGACUAUGUACUCUUUGUUCAUCCGAAACUCAUCUUGCUUGUCUAUUCCCUCCACAUGUAUUUUCUCCUUGAACUCAUAUUAGCCGCCAGUGCAGCCCUGGCUCGAGCCACGCUAGGGUUAGAACUGGAGCCUCAGUUCAUGGAGCCGUAUCUUUCAACUUCAUUACAAGACUUCUGGGGCAAGAGAUGGAACCUCAUGGUCACCGGCAUCCUACGCCCCACCGUAUACAAACCCACCCUACACAUCUUUACACGUGUAGCCGGCCGGAAGUGGGCUCCACUCCCAGCUGUUUUCGCCACGUUUUUGGUGUCCGGUUUCAUGCAUCAGCUCAUGUUCUUUUACUUGGGCCGCGGCGCCGGCUUGAAACCCACGUGGGAAGUCACGUGGUUCUUCGUUCUGCAUGGGGUUUGUUUGGCGGUCGAACUGGCUUUGAAGAAAGCGGUUACCGGUAGGUUCCGGUUACCGAGGAUAAUAUCCGGUUUGUUGACCGUUGCAUUCGUGAUGGUUACCGGCUGUUGGCUGUUUUUUCCGCAAUUCACUCACUGUAAACUUGAUGAAAGGGCGUUUGAAGAGUAUGCGGCUUUGGGUGCGUUCUUCAGAAAUGUUUGGUCAAGUUUUGUACGCGCUUGCAAGGCUAAUUAACAUUUUUUUUUUUAUCAACUACAUAGAAAAACAAUUAAAAAAAAAAAAAUCUUCCCUGGAAGAUUUGCAGCUGAUGAGUACAUCGUUAUUUUGGCUUGUUUUUUUUUUUUUUUUUUUUUUUUUGAGUUAAACUAAUAGGAAUCAAUCAACCCAUUGACUUUGUUUAGGAUUAAUAAGUGGCAAUCCCUACUCAUUUCAUUUGUCACUUUGUGUGUUAUAAAUUUGCUCCAACAAUGAACUCUUGGAUCCACACACCUUGCAACAGGUACCACAUCUUUGUCAUUUGUUUGAUUUAGGAAAAGUUAAGUGACUACACACCCCUUUUCAGAUGUCGCUUUUGUAUUUUAAAUACAUAGCAUCAAUAAUGAUUUUAUAUGUAACAUAUGUUAGAUAGGAAAAUGAAAUUAACAUAUCAUUGUUUUGUCAUACGCAACUCAAAUGAAGCAUUUUUCUUAAUUACUAUUAGUGUGAUUAUUAUAUCAAAUAUAACACGCGUCGUUUGGAUAAACACUUUUAAUUUUAUUUUGGAAGCAAAAUUGACCUUACUUCAUUAGUAUUUGAUUAAAAAAAUUAUAUUACUCUAAUUAAUUUAAUUUCACCAAAUUUCUUUAAAAGCUACCACCCAUAGUAACUAGGUGGGGAAAUAAAAUUAAUCCUUGUUUAUACAUGAGUUUUUGUAGUACGAAAUGAGUCAUUUCAAAUAGGUUCAUUAUUCUGACCCAAAAUUGGAUACCUUGUUCCAAAUGCGCCAUCCACAUAUGAAUACCUUGUUUAAAAGAAUAUUUUUUUGAAGGAAGUCUCAAAUUCAGGAUAUUUUACUGCACAGUUUUUCUGAGAAACGAACUCAUAAACACGUAGGUUUAAGGCUAGUCCGAUUACUCUAAGAGCACUCAUCCAUAAACUGAAUACCGGUAUAAAUAACUUUUUAAAAAAAUGUAACCACCAUUUAUUGGAAAAAGCAACCCCUAAGAAGGUGAGGAGAUCUUUAUUACCGCAAAUUACUGAUUUUUCCUCGACUUUUUUUCUUUGAUUAUAUGCUUCUUCAUGUUGCAAACUUUGGCGAUUAUUUACCUGCAUACUAAAGGCGCUCUACUGUUCAAUUCAAUUCGGUUGAAUAGAAAAUGAUUUUUUUUUUUAAAGGAUAGAAUGUGAGUUGAAUAUAUCUAAGAGGGCUCGCUUCCAUAGAAGCUGGUGUAUGUUUCUAAAUGAGAAUGGAAAUAUCAUGGAAAGGACCGAUUCGCUGUGUGUGUGCGUGCGUGUGCGUGUGUAUAAAUUGGAGACAAAUAAUUAAUUUUCCCUUGAUCUAUUAUGCUUAUUGGUUAGGGGGUUACGUUUGGUCCUUAGUCGUCCUCUCAUGUAACUGCAUAGUAAUAUUAAAGUUUAAAUUGCUUAUUUUGUUCAUCGUUGGACACACGGAGAGAAUGAGAAUUGUUAAUGCAUUAUCCAACCACUCACACUAUUUGACAACUAGAAUUUUGCCUUCGGAGCCGAGACACCGCAAUCUCAAAUAAAGCCCAAGUCGAAGGGUAAUAUCUGCAAUGAGGAGAAUUAAUUGGCCUCUCAAAGUUGUCCUUGUCAGGCCUGCCACUUUAUGGGGGACUUACAAGUCUGGCCCAUUCUUUUGGGCCUCUGGCACAUAAUGAAACGAGAUUGUCCAACAAAGCCCUCGAAACAUUUGAAGCAUAUGGGUGAGACGCAAAAACAGCAAGGUUUAACAACGCAAAAACAGCAUAUAAAAAACAUUCAUUCGAGUGUGUUUUAUUUAUUAGCCAGAACUAGAAGGCUGACUACUGCCCUGUCUUCUUAGAGUUCCCACAAAAUCUUACUGCUUGGCCUUUCUCCGAAAUUAUCAAACACCUUUCCUCCUUAUCCCCUUUAGUUUUUUUUUUUAAUACUGUCAUACAAGAUUGUUACUGAUAUUAUAUCAGAUAUUACAAUUAAUAUUUACAAACAAAUUAUAUAACUGAGACCUUCAUCGUGGCAUGUACUCAUCUGAAGCGCGGCCCGAAUUAUUUAAACCCUCUCUAAUAUUCGAGGGGUGUCCACUUCACUCACAUUUAAUGAGGAAUAAACUGGCUCCACUCAAUUAUUUAAUAAUCAAUAGAGAAUUGAAAUUAACCCCCGUAAUGUUUUUAUGGAGGCUCGAACCCUUGCUCUCAACAUUGUAAGUACAAGAGUUCUCCCACUGGACCAAAUGCCCCUUGCUCUCAACUAACCCCCAUUAGUUUAAAAAUCCCAAGAACCCCUUUUUUUUCCCAGCUUUAUAUAAACCCACUAUUGUAAUCGUAUGCGAAUUACAAAUUUAACCAUUAGUUGAGCAUUAAAAAAAAAAAGAGAGAGACAUUGUAUUCUGACCUGUUAUGGAAUCAGUUGGAAUGUUGGGUGAACGUUAAUUUUGAUGAGUGCAAUAGCCAAUAGCUAUGCAUUGAGAAAAAAUGUUGAUAAUGUAAUGCCCUGUUGGCAAAACCAAAACCCUAAUAAUUUGGGUGGGACAAUCCAUUGUGUAUACAGGUCUAUGUGACCAAUAGAAAUUAAGAAAUGGAUGAACUCUCACGUGCCAAUUCCGUGGGAGUUGUGGCACAGCUUUUGGUUUCGGGUAAAAUGGGAAACGUUUGGUGCCCAAUGAUGAAAGCUGCAUUUUUUGGGUCCAUUAACCGCACAUUAUAAAUAUAAAAUUGCGUGGCAAGACGGACUACUUGUGGAGGUAUUUUUGUUUCACACCCACCUUCAAAUAUCAAUAUUAUUCUUUAAUUAUAUUACGAUCAACCGACGUUAUAAUUAAAAAAAUAUAUACCAACAGUUUUAAGUUCAUACAACUAUAGCAUAGUCAGGAGUUGUGGAGCAUGAUUUAAAAAUCUAAGUUAAAUGAUGUCGAAGUCUACCUUGUAAUUUAAUGAUUUAAUAUGUAUGAUGUUCAUCAUAUUUUAAGUAUAUAUAGACACGUGAUAAAAUUCUAUAACUUUUUAUGAAUAAUAUUGAAAUUAUAGAUGAAUCAAUAAGAAAUUUAGUUGAAGUGAAAAAAAAAAAUUGAUUUAAGGAUUUAACUUGAAAAUAAAUUUAGAGAAGCCAUAAUAUAAGACAAAACUAUACUACCAAAGUACCAAUGCGGUAAAUGACCAAAAAAUAAAGUAACCAAAAAGUAUUUCUAAAUUUUAACACAUGAAUGUAGUUCAUUUUAAUUUUUUUUUAUACUUAUAUCCUUGACCAUAGUUGACCACGAAGGAAAUUUAAAUAUAAUCUUGAGUUGUCAUUCUUCCUCUUAUUAAAAAAUAAUCAAAGGAUGAGGAUAUCUCUAAACCCUAAAAAUACUCUUUGUACCACCUUUUAAUUAAAUAAUUCAUAUUACAAAAAAAAAGUCCAUUCAUUAAAUUACUAUUAAGAACAAAGUAUAAAUCUAUGUAAUUUAUAACUAUUUGUUCUCUAUCUAUAUUAUCUUUUAUUUCACACAAAAAUAGUCAUUCAUAUAAAUUAAAAAAAAAAUCCCAAAAAAAUGUAUAGUUCAAGAAUUUGAGAAAGAGGAUCUAAUGUUUAAAUCACUAAACGAAAAAAUAUGGGCACCUAAGGCCCAUUAUAAAAUAGCUGGUUACAUCACAUUAUAAUUAAAGCUAAAUAAGAAGACAUAAAUUUCAGAGAGAAGUUCUUAAUUUCAUCUUAAAACUGUUAAUUAUUAAUUUCACAUGAGAUUGGGCCGGAUGGUUCAUAAUUGAUAAUACAAAGAAAAUAUAUUUCCAAGUAGUUUUCACUUUAUACUUUCAAGUCCGAUAAGAUAAAUACUAUUUUUGGUAUGUAAUGGACAUAAGUAACACAUGUAUCUCCGAAAUAAGAUUUUUAUUUUUAUUUUUCUCUUACCCCUUAAGUUUCGCAAUAAUGGAGUUCCAAGUCAAAGUAGUCUCUAAACACAUACAUAUCAAGAUUUGAUUCUUCUUCUUCUUCUUUCGUCUUCAUCAUACUUUUCCAUGAUCUUGGCCUUGACUUGAGGUUGAAACUUGUAAUUAAAUUUACCUAUUAGUUUUUCAUCUACCAAAUAAAUAAAACCAAAAAGGCUCACUAAUUGAUAAGAAGCCUAGAGAUUCUCGUUUGGUGGGCUCCCUGUUCAGUUCAUCAAUCUUCUCUCUCUCUCUCUCCCAGUCUCCCUCCUCCCAAUUUCUUACAGCACAUACAAUUAAAAGCAGUUUCCUCUUCUGACUUGAAUCCCAAAUAACUUGUUCACAACUCAAAGUUUCAAUUUUUAAAACUGUAGCUCUUGUUGAAUUCACAUGUAGUAAAUCUUUUGGUUAUUUUCUAAUCAGAACAUCAAAUUAUCACAAACCCAUCUCGUAAAGUUACAAUAAUCUUGAUGGGUUACCUUUCUUGCAAAGCAGAAUCAGCCAUUUCCGUAAUCUCCACAAAUUCUAACUCUGUUGCCACCCAUCAAACACAGUCCUCAAAAACUAGUCAAAAGCAAGAGAAACCCAUCAAGAUCCAGCAUUUUGAUUACAGUGAUCUUGAAGCGGCCACCAAUGGCUUCUCUGAGCAGAAGCUUCUGGGAAAGGGCAGUCAUGGUUCUGUGUACAAGGCUGUGCUACGCGGGCGUCAAGUUGCUGUCAAGAAACCAUCUAAGAAUCAAGAAAUCAGCCAGGAAGUUGACAAUGAGAUUGAAAUCCUAUCCAAGAUUCAUAGCCCCCGGCUGGUGAAUCUGUUAGGCUUUUCCAAUGACUCUAAAGAUCGUUUAUUAGUUGUUGAGUUUAUGUCUAAUGGUACUUUAUAUGAUGUUCUUCAUUCUAAUAAUAGGCCAUUGAAUUGGGGCAGGAGAAUAAGAUUAGCUCUACAAGUUGCUAAAGCUGUAGAGAUACUUCAUUCAGAAAUGCCACCUAUUAUUCAUAGAGACAUUAAAUCAGCUAAUGUGUUGAUUGAUAGGAAUUUCAAUGCAAGAUUAGGUGAUUUUGGGUUAGCUUUAAGGUGUGGUGUUGAUAAUUUUAGGUUUAGAUCAACUCCACCAGCUGGGACUAUUGGGUACCUCGAUCCAUGUUAUGUGACUCCUGAUAAUUUGAGUACCAAAACUGAUGUCUUCAGUUUUGGGAUUUUGUUGUUGGAGAUUAUUAGUUGUAGAAAAGCCAUUGAUAUUGGGUUUUCACCACCUUCCAUUGUGGAUUGGGCUGCUCCACUGAUAAAGAAAGGGAAGAUUCUUUCAAUUUUUGAUCCGAGAAUUCCACCUCCUAAGGACCCUAUUGUUAGGAAACAGUUAGCAGUUAUUGCCGCGAGGUGUGUGAGGUCUUGCAGGGAGAGGAGGCCUACGAUGAAGGAGAUUGUUGAUUGGUUAACUGGGUUGAGUAAAUUGGUUCCUCUACAUUCAUGGAAUGGGUUUAACAAUCCAUGUUUGAUGGUGGAGACUGUGGGGCGCCCAGUUGAAGUUAGAAAAACCCAAGAAGGUGGAAUUGCAGGAGAAAAUUUGGAUCUGCUGGAUGGUAAAUUGAGUAGGAUGUCAACGAAGGACUCACGGAGAGUGUAUUCAGAUUUAGGGUUGAGGAGCAAUUUGAUGGAACUCAUGGCUGGUAUGGAUGAGGAGCAUGAAUUUCGGGGAGAGGCUGAUGGUGUUGAGGCCAGCAUAAAGUCUGCAAAACAGGUUUCUAGUUCAAGCCAUGGUAGUGGAAGAUACCUUUACAAAGGAAGAGCUCGGUCACGUGCUCAUGGCAAUGACAAAGGUAGAGGUUCUCGCUUGAGGCGAAACUUAUCUAUUGGGGAUGGGUCAGAGUUGUUUUCUGGAAGAGAUGAUGCAAUGAUUCCUAUAGGUUUUAGUUCUCGGACAGCUAACAAUAUUUAGUUUCCUUGAACAAAUUUGAUCGAAGUGGUUUGGCAAUGGAGAGAAGCUCAUGCUUGUAAGCUUCUCUUUCUUGCAAAUAACAUUCAUCGCGGAUAUUUUUCAUUCUUCUUUUAAAUUGUUUGUGUAUUGUCAAUUUGAGCAUGUAUCAUGAUCAAAUGGACAUAGCUGAUGUCCCUUGUUAUUGCCAAUUCUUUUUGUUUUUUUUCAUUUUCCUUAUGCAAAGCUUGUGUAUGAUAGAAAUUGUUGUUAAUACAUACAUAAAGCUCAUUCAAAAUCCAUCAGCUGAGUGCUAAUCCAAUUUUUGUUCUUUGAAUUCGCUACGUCAUCUUUCGCUUUAAUUAACUUUGCCCUUAGAGAGCGGUAGAUAUUGAAUGAUUUGUAUCUUGUUUUUGCAUAAAGGAUUCAAAUAAAGUUUGAUUUAGUUAACAGGAUAAAGGAUACCCAACUUUCCCGAAACUGAUAUAUAAAAUCCAUUAUGCAUUAUCAAGAGCUGGAUCUUCAGCCACAUCAUGUGGCUAUACUGUUGUUAGAUGAUUGGUUUUCAGCAAAUGUGGAGCAUAUAAAUGAAUGAUCUUAUCCAAUCUCAUAUAACUGCAAAUUGACAACAACAAAACAACAUUAAAAACAAAUACCUGCAAUGCAUUCUGCUACAAUUGUUGUCAUUAUCUAAAUAAUUUGUUCUUCUUUGUGUAUUCUAGUCAAGAAUCGCAUCACAUUUGACAUUAGUGCGCCUCCUAUCUGUCAUGCACCAACUUGAAAUAGGAACAGCACCCUUAGAGAAACUCUUGAAGAUUAAAGGGUUACUUUGCUUCAUCUUUGGAUUUUGUCAUUUGGUUAUUUUAAUUUGGUGUACAAGUUAUGUUUUCUAGUAAUUUACUUUCUCUCUGCAUAACACGUGACUUGAGACUAGCAUCAUUGUCAAGGAGGUUGGUAACCAAUACAGGUGACACAAAUUAGUCUCUAGCAACACUAAAACUGCUCUGAUGUAGGGCAUCAUUACAUUACCAAACUUGGGCUAAAAAAUUCAGAAUCAACAUAAUUGUUGCUGGUGUUUCUGUAAUUAGCUAACUUGUGAAAUUCUAUGAUUUGUGUCAUUAACAAGUAAUCUUAUGUUAUUAUUGAGAUCUUGAAUUGGAGACUCUCUGCCUGCUUCCACUUACCUUAAAAUUCAUUUUCUCGAAGAUAAUGAAACAAGAACCUGACCGGCAUAAUAAAAUAAGAUGGGGGUAUUUGAGACCUUAUAUCGGGUGGAAGACCAAGAAAGAUAGGGAAAACACAAAACACCAAGCCAACUGCAUACGGCUAGAAAUAUUGUUGCAGCCAAAAUUAACCAGUUGAUGGAGACAAGUUUUGGAAAUUUUACUCAAAUGGUUUGUUUUUGGCAUAAUGUUGUACUCGAUUAUUAAAACAAAGAAGAAGCUGGUUUCAAACUUCAAAAACUAGGAGAGAAUAACGUAAUGUGUAACACGGUUGUAGUGGAUAGCGGCAAGCAAGCAGGAAAAUUAAUUGAUAUUCCUGUUUCCGUAAAUCAAGGCUUUACAGUUCACUAAUUCUAAGCGCAUGCAUGUGCCUCCCACCCUUCCUUUUCAACUGCUAAGACAUAUCUUGGAUACUCUGUUAUCAUAUAUAUGUGAAAUUAGAAAAUAUCGAAGUUUGACCAAAGUACAAUUUUAAAAAGGGGAUAAUCUAUCGAUCAAUCUGUCUACAACUCCUAUUUAGUUAUAAUCGCGAGAAGAAGUGCCACUUUUGAAAAGAGAAACAAGUGCCAUCAUAACCAUCAUCUAGAGGAAAAUUUACCAAAGAAAACGUCAAAAGGCACAAAAAUUCCUGUUGUUAUCUUCUGUCUCCACACCUUUGGCUUCUUGCAUAUGAAUCUCUUUUUUAUUUAAUGUUGCGUUUACUUGUCCGUAAUCGGAAUGGGCUGGAAUGAAAAUGGGCUGGAAUGAAAAUGAGCUGGAAUGAGAAUGUGAAUCAGAAUAAGUUAUUUACUUGACCUCCAGGAAUCAAAAUCGGAUAUGAGUUACAUUGUAACAAAUUACUAAAACGUACUUAAUGAAUUAUUGUCAUAAUUAUUAUUUUAUAUUUUAAUUAUAGUGAUUAUUUAUUCAAAAACUAUAAUUAUUAAUACAUUAUUGUUAAUAAUAUAUUAAUUAUUAAUUAUAAUUGUCAAUAUAAUUAUUAUAGUAGUCUAUUGAUUAAUUAAUUAAUAUAUUAAUUAUUGUGACUUUAUAAAAAAAUUAUAAAUAUUAAUAAUUAUUGUUAAUAAUAUAUUAAUAUAUUAAUUAAUUAACAUUAUUAUUAAUUAAUAAUAAUAAUAUAUGAAUGAAUUAUAAUCGUAAUGUAUUAAUUAUUAUAAUUAUUUAUUAAAAAUUUAUAAUUAUUUAUAAUUAUUGUUAAUAAUAUAUUAAUUAAUUAUAGAUAGAACAAUAUGGACAUUUUUAAUUUCAAAAGAGAACAAAAUAAUCAUUCUUAGAAAUGAGAGGCUCAUUCUCAAUCCCACCUGCCCUUCUAAAUAAGUCUUUCAUUUCUCAUUCCAAAUUAUGCUCUCAUUCCAAAUUAUGCUGGACCUCAUAAUUCUAAUUUUACUUUACAAAAUAAACAGGUUCUGUUUCCCUAAUCCACGAAGUAAAUGCAACAUAAAAUUAUUUUCAAAGCCACUACCAUUCCAUUCAACGAUUUAUGCUGCGGGAAUUGAAAAUUUGGUCAUAUUCCGGCACAAAAAUCGGCUCAAUUAAACAAAAUGUAAUAAGCCAUUAAAAAUUCUUAAGUCUUUCUCGAAAUACUAUCAGAUGAGGAAUAUAUAUAUAUAUUUAACACAAAUAAUUGUCAACUCAGCACUAAGCUUCUUACUGAGGCUUCCAGAGUCCGUCCAUAAAAAUAACAUUGUUGGUAAAAUGUUGCCCGUGCAAAUAUCAAACAAGGUAGCAGUAAUAAACAGAUCAAUUUGGAAAAGUAAAGAAAUAUAACUAAUGGACUUUGUUGGGCCAAAAAGAAAGUAAAAAAAAAAAAAAAUUGAAGGGGAAAAAUGAACUCUUAUCUCAAUACUACAAAAUAUCAACUGAAAAACAAAUCACCUAAGAGAUCAUUGAUGUUCUGAAAACUAUCCUCACUAGACUGCAUCCAGAAAAAGCACUGAUGUAAAAGCCAGACAAUAUCUUUGUAACGAAGCCAAAGAACCAAAAUCCUGUAGUAGCAACCUGCGGAGCAGUUCUUGUGCGUACAAUGAAUUAAGGAUCAGUGCCCCAGCAAAGUAUGCCAAAUAUGUGAAAAAUGUUCAAACUGGAGAUGAAUCUCCCAAGGAUUUCAAGAUUUCUCAACUUAAUCUGACAUUUUGUCUUGUCUUGAUCAUUCUUUUUAAUGUUGCCAACCAGAAGUUGCACUCAUCCCAGUCACUAGUUGUAAGAAGCACCUGUUGCAAGCAGAAAGAAAAAAAAACAAUUGAAGCUUCGAUCUCAUUUUCAGCUUUCCAACACUUGCAUGGAAUAGUCGGCAAAAGUAAAAUAAUCUUAUUUUCAUUUCCAGUGGUUUACCUGGAUUUGUAGGGCUGUACCAAAAUCGUUAUUGUCCAAAGCCUGGCAGAGCUGAACGAGCUUAUCAGCAGCAUUUUUAGAGAUGUCCCCGCUGUUAAGCUUGGCAAACAAAGCUCCUAUUUUCUUUGAAUUGUCUUCUAUUUCCCGCUUUUUUGCUGGAUUUGCACGUGAGCCUCCAAGUGCUUCUGAUGUCUCGUUAAAGAGUCUUGUCAAUGUAUUGAUGACAGGUUUUUGAUGGGCUGGAGGAAAUCAUGCAAAAACAAGCCAGAUUAAUAAGAUAACUGCGUAAGAAAAAAUUAUCAGAGCAUAUGGAAUGCUACCAAAUUAAGCAGUGGGAUUAAAUCUCAUAAAUAAGUUGAAGAAACAAUUACCGGGUACAUUUGAAGUAUCGACAGUCUGUAUUGUAGGUGGUGGAGCUGCAGGUGUUACAGCUGGUUGUACGGGUACUGACUGAGGACUGGCUGGUUGCAUUGAUCCCAUGCCAGGUCUUUGGACAACUCCUGAACCACUCAUGGGCAUGAAUCCCGUAGGAGUGGGUGUGGGAGCCACAACAUUGGGCAUUUUUGGGCCUGGAACAGCCCCAAUUUGUGAUGGGAGAGAGCCCCGUGCAUCAGAAACAGGAGGCACAGGGUAGCCCGGAUUAGAAACUCCCUGAAAUAUUCAUUCAAAGAGAUAUUCAGUCUGCCAGUCAAGAGAACAACGUUGACCAAAAAAAAGGAAAUUGAAUACACUUAUACAGACGGGGUACAACUGAGAACCCAAUGUGGGUUGCUGAUAUUGCUCUGCGUUUCUCAGCACAGGAGGAGUAGAAGGAAUGAAGGGUCUCAUGGCUGGCUGAGAGGUAACAGGAGCAGGGGCGGGAGCAGUAAAAUUAGGCUACAAUGAAAACAGAUGAAACAAAAUUACUCAUAAAGCUCACUUCAACAGAACAUUUUUCAUUAAAUGAUAAGUAAUAGACAACUAAACAAGACAAGUCUUAGUGAAGUCUAGUGCAUGAUAAUAAAAGGCUAUAUUUUAAGUGCCAAAAACGUUACAGAUAACAAGAGAAACCUUUUCAGAGUAAGGUUGAUAAAGAGUUAAAGAUGAAAAAAAUAAUUCAAAGUACUUGAGUUGCCUGAGGUGGAAUGAAUAAACCAGGCUGUGGUGCAGGUUGAUACGCAGCAGAAGCACCAUAUCCUCUUCCAUUGCUAUAAGGGCCCAAUGGCUGCUGAUAAUUGUCACCAUAUGUACCUCCAGGAACACUCUGAUGCAAUGGCGAUUGGACUGGUUCCUAUAGCAAGACACAAGAAAAUAAUUGAAGUUCUGUUCAAAAGCAAGGCAGCGAAAAAAUCAAAUAGCGACUACAAUUAGAAAAAAAGAAAAUUACACAAAAACCUGCAACUCACCUGAUAAUAUUGCUGAGAAGAAUCAACCAUGCCAUAUUUGGACUGAUCAACACCAUGCACUGGUGCAUGUUGAGAGUUCUCAAAAGCCAUAGCUGCAGCUUCUUUUUCUGGGACAAUAAAUCAGAAGAAACCAUCAGAGGUACUUGAUGCAGUAGGCUUGAUGCAGUAGGCAGCAAAAUACAAGGCUAUACAGUAAACCUCAUUCCAGUGAGGUUACGCUGAAACCAGCAAUGGGAUCACCUAUUGGCAUGCAAAAAAUAAAUAAUUAACUAACUAAAAAGGAAAUCCUUGGGAGUCCUUACCAGGUUCUAUAGAUUGAGCAAUACGAUCUCUUAAGACCGUAAGUUCAGGUGACAAUUCAUCUGAUCCCAAUAGUUUGAGAUACUCCAUAGCAGUGGUUAGAAGCCCUUGACUAGCUAAAAUUUCCGCAUACUUCUCAACAAGCUUGCACAGAGCUGCACUAAAUCGCUUCUGUCCAGUUGCCAAAGCUAGGACAAUAGUCUUCUCCAUCAAAUCCUAAAUUAAUAAAUAUUAUGUCAACAUUGAUUACUUUCUAUGCCAAAGACAUGUUUGAAUAUACUUGUAAGAGCUGCACACUAACCUGAAGAAGAUCAACAUAGGAUUUCCCUUCAUGCUCAGCUGCCAGGCUCCUUGACCAAAUUUCGACUGUUUUGUCAAUGUUCCCAGCACAUAUAUAACAAAGAGUUGCUGCCAGAGUAUUACCAGCAGCCAAUAGUUUUGAAGCAAGUGUGUCGCAAAGCAUAGUCCAUUCCUCUCUCUGAGCGAACUGCUUAUCAUGACAACAAGAAGUACAUAGUGAGUGAUACAACUCCAAGCUCAAGUCCAAUUUUCAAGCAUUCAAACAUUAUAAAUUCUUUUUCAGUAACAACUAAUAGUAACGGCCUGUUUUCUCCACAUGAUAAGGUAAUAAUCAGAUAGCCUGUUUUCUCCACGUAGUAAGGUAAUAUUCAGGAUUUAUAGGCUUGUGCAAGUAUAAAUAAAAGCAAUAUGAGCGGUAUCAAGUCAAGUAGAUCAUAUCAUCUGCUAGAUAUUUUUACCAACAAUUCAGCCUAAUAGGUAAUAUAUCACAAGCACUCGAACUUUAAAAGCAUUUCACCAAGUACAGGUGAGUGAUCAAGUCAGGCACUUUCAUUCCAUUCCAAUAUUCAAUUACUGUUGGCAUUUAUCCUAUGAGGAACAUUAGAAGAAACAAAAUACCAAUAAAUUGCAAAAAAGUAAUUAUGUAGGACGUUAUUAGAAGAUUUAUGUAGGACAUUAUUAAUCUUCUAAUAACGUCCUACAUCAUGUAGCAGGCAAUCUAUUCUCACACAACCACAAAUCUACAUCUUCUUCCAGUGAUUAAAAUACUUACAGUACAGAGAAGAGCAAGUGUUUCUUUCCAAAAGUUCAGAGGCCUGGAGUUCACAAGGCUCAACAGAUCAUUAUUCACCAUAGCAGAAACAACCUGAAAGCAAAAUGGCAAGUACAAAGUGAACGUUCAAUCAUAAACAAUAGUACAAAUCCAAUGUUUAUUAAGUUAAAGACUAACAGUUUUGUGAAAGCAUAAGCUACCUUCAAGUAAGGCGAACGAUUCAUCUUGAGAUACUGAUCUCGAGUACGAUCCCACAAAGCAGCACCACCGACGUGAGCAAUAACUAAAGCAUCAGCCAUUUUAUUUGCAGAUAUGCAUAGUGCAACUGCCCCCUUAUAGUCUCCGACAACCAAAGCACGUUGAACACUAUCAUCAAAUGAUGGAUCCGAACUCUCCUCGACUCCAUCAGCUUCUUCUUUUAGUUCUUCAGUACUAGGAACAGAACUCUCAACAGCAAAAGUAUUACCAGAAGUUGAUACAGGCGUAUCUGCUUUUGGACUUGGAAGAUUGUUAAAGAAAUCUUCUCCAUUAUCAGCAGUAAAGAUGGUGGCGUCUUUAUCACGUUGAUGUGCCCCUUUAUCUGCUACUUUAUCCUCAAGUCCAAUCGCAUUUACUUCCUGGGAAAGAUCAUCUUGUACAGUAUCUUUUUCUUCAGUUGGUAAAGUAAAACCAAGGUGGGUAAGCAACUUCGUUCUAGCUGUGCCAUCGUCUUCAAACAUAACUUUUAAGAAGCCCCAUGUUUCUCUGUCAUCCUCAGAUCUGUUUUAACAGUCAAAUGAAGAGAGAUGUCAAUAUGUCAAUUUCUAAUAUGAAGCACUAGACAGAAUAGAAGAAAAGAAUCUGCAUGUCUCAGAACUGCUGACGUACUUGCAUUCUUGUGAUUUUUUCUCGCACAAAGCUCUCAAUGAAGACCUCUCCCCAUUUUGUAUUGAUUCUUCAAAUUCAGAAGAGCGACCAACCAAACUGUCUUCUGUAACUAAGUUAUGCACAAAAACCUUGAACAAGGAAACACGGAGAAGAUAAUUAAGUAGAUGAUGAAAACUGUCAUUAAAGCAGAAGAGUAUAGACAACUCGCAGAAGCAGAAGAGUAUAGACAACUCGCAGAAAUGUUACCUCUGAAGUAUGUCCAGCAGAUGACUUGGGAUGAAAAGAAACAAGCUUUCCUCCAAAUCCAAAGGAUGCCCCAGCUGGACGUUUAUACCAUUUUGGGGCUCUCAGAGGUGCUGCAUCAAAAGGAUAGCAUGUUAGAAGAGAUGUCAAAAGUAAAAUUCUCCAAAGCAUCUCCAACAGAUGACUUGUGAAGAAACGAAAGUCAAAUUUAUAGAUGGAUGCCAAGGCCAGAAUAGCAAUGGAGCCAAAAACUUCAUCCUAUGGUUUGAGACAGAUUUCUGAAUUAAAAGCUAACUGAAAAUCCACAAACUCUAUAGUAGUCAAUUCUAUGACAAAAUACGUGACAACUGUUGAAAGCACUAGAUUACCUGCACUGAAAUUGCUAUCCCCAACACCAUACCGGCUGCAACCCUGAAGAAAGAGAGAAAUAAAUAUGCAUGGAGAAGUAAGGCCAAAAAAUUCUUUUGACGACACCAUCAAAGGCGAAUACAGUAUCUCUACCAUGUUAAGGAGGGGAAACAAAUAAGGUAAACAAGUACAAUAAUAAUAAUAAUAGAGUAUGACAAAUUUCUCAUUUUUCAAUUAGCUUUAAGAUUUCUAUGCUUGUACAAUUCUCCUAGGACCAAAAUUUAUCAGUUCUUUCUAGCCAUGCAUCGAAUGAAAGCCAGCCUUAUCUACACAUUCCAAUGAAGUGCCUAAACGAAUAUAUUCACCAAAAAGAUACAAGUGGCAAAGACUAUCAGCUGGUUAUGACCAUACAAUUCUUCGACAUUGUUUGCAUUCAGAAAACAAUAAGUGGACUUUAAUAGAACCACGCUCAAUCAAUGUCCAACAUUCUCAUAGUUUCUUUUCUGACAACAUUUGCUACAGAAAACCAAAACAGCUUUACAAAAUAAAUCUUUACAAAAACACAAUAGAGCAUACCUCAAUAUUAUAAAUUCCAAUUUUUCCAUCAAAUGAUGAUGCAGAUAUCACUCCAGGAAUCUUCGGAUACCAGUGUACGUCAAAAUUCCAGUUGGUGCCAGCUGGCAAUUCAGAGACGAUCUGCAUCAACAUUUUUAUAAGAAAAACAAAAAAGAAAAGUGUUAACACAGAAAGAGUUACUCUUGACAGUGUGAAGAAGAAACAAAAUAAAAAUACGAGUUAUUCCAAAUAAAUUCAAUGCAAGUUAAAGACUACCAAAUUUACCUCACCACUGACUGUGUCCCAGCAAAUAGUACGAUUAUCUUUUGCACAAGUAAGCAAAUACGAGCUGUCAUUUGGACACCAGGACAUUGCAAUUACACCUGGAGUCAGAUAAGCAGUCAAAAUAUCAGAUAUUUAAACCUAUGUGCAGUUACAUCAAGAAAGCAUAGUACUGCUGUAACAAUAGGCAUAUGCAUAGUAGCCAAAGGGGAUAUGUUGCAUCAUAAAAGCUUAGGAUAUUUAUCAAGCCAGCCAAAAAUUGACCAUCGAUCGAAAGUACAUAGGUGUAACAUCCCAAGAAUAUACAUAAAUUGGCAGAACAUCAAUAAAUACGCAAUAAAGAAUCAUGUUGUGGAGUGCCAUACCUUUGGUGUGCCCCACAAACUCUUUUACUGGUGACAUUGUAUUUCGCAUGUCCCAAAGCUGUGUGCAAACAUCAUUAUACAUUCACAUAGUUUGCAAAGCAAUUCUACUAAAAAAAAAAACUCCGCAAAAGCGAACCCAUUACCCUCAGAGCAGGUGAACUAUCUUCGUCUGAUGCAACAACAAGCUGAGUGGCAACAUCAGGAUUCCACUGCAGAACAGAGCACCGCCGUUUAAUUGACUCUGAGAAGCUGCCAGUCAACAUAAUAACAUUCAUUUAUCUUAAAGAAGCUGUUGGACAAUAAUUAAGAAAAAAAUAAUAAGAAAAUUUUGACAGCAAACAUGAAAAUCACUCACCUUAUUACAGGUUUUUGCUUCUUUAAGUCCCAAACCACUGAGAAAACAAAUACACACACACACACACACACACAGAUUAAAUAUUCCUAGACCCAAAAAAAUUAAUCUCAGAGAACAUAUAAAUCAAAUGUCUUUUUCUUUUCUCACCAGUUGUCCCAUUGUAAGAAGUGGAUGCUAAAAUGUGUUGAACCUUGCUAUUCCAUGAAACAAAUGAAAUUUCACCUUGAGCUGCAGAACCAUUACCCUGCGCAAAUAUUGCACAAACCGUUUCAAAUGCCCCGAAAGAUUUAGAAAAACGUAACUGACAGGAAAGAGAGAUUCUGUCUCAGGAAAACAAAUAUUUCUAGGACAGACUUGUAGGCAGAGAUGCUUCACAAAGUAAAAUAAUGCAUUUUAUCCCAAACCCGCGCGGGGGGGGGGGCGGCGGGCGGGGCGAAGAGGGGAGGGACAAGGGGGCACAAUAACAGCAAAGGAAAAAUCAAACUUAUACUAUAGUAAAUGCAGAUAACGCCCAUCAAACACCUCUUCAUAUUGUAAUAAAAUUUUGCAUAUAAUAAAAUCUACCAGUUACCAUUCAAUAUUCACAGAAAAGUCAAAUGAAAAGCUUUUUGAGGUGGUAAACAGCCAAAGGGAAGUAUAAGAUGGCAUAUUAAUUGAGUAACAAAGAUCGCUACGUGCCCUGAGAGGUGGGAAAUGAGAAGGUUCAGCUGGUGCUGACAAAUCCCAGAUGCAGAUUUCACCAUCAUCAGCACCAGAGGCAAGUAAGUUGGGAGUGAAGGAAUUAAACUCAAGACCACGAACCUGAAAAUGGGGAAAAAAAUAAAAAAAUUAAUCUCACCAUCCAAACAUUACUUCAUUAGAUAUCUCAUGGGCAAAUCUAACAACCAAAUAAUACUAGGCUUAUCAGAAAAAGGAAACUCACAGGUCCUUUGUGCCUUGAAAGAUGUACAAUGAGAGGAUUUCCACCAGUUUCCCCGGAACUGAGCAAAAAAUACAGGUGGACAGCAAAAUUAAUUCCGUAAGUAUAUAUACUACUAUUGCUCCAGUUUAAUUUACACAUUUAGGGUUAAAAAAAGAAUGCAGCUAUCACUACUUAAACUCUACCUUAUCAACAUAAACAGACAAUACCAAAAUGAACAAUAAAUAAAAGCAAACGGAAACAUGAGGAAACAAAUUCAGCAUCAGAAAUCUUUAUGACUCCAAAAGUUAGAAUCAACUGUUGUCCGAUUCAGCAGAUUGACAUGACAAAUCACAACAGAACUAUAUUGUGGUUUCUUAUGAAAUUCUCAUUCUACUUCCUAGUGUUAGAAUAAACAUCUCCAAUGCUCGACAUUGCAAAACUACAGUUAGUAGAUCCAUAUAAUCAGUUAAAUUUCCAAUUCGUUCUAAUUUUACAAGUGCAAUAAUUACUACAUAGCCUCUAACAUCCCUUUGUCAGUAAAACAAAUCAUCACCUACAAUUAACCUAAUUCAUAAAAUACCCACAAAGUACCAGUAUUUGUAAACAAAACAAAUCCAAUAACCAAAUUACAACUUUUGACAAAAAGCAAUAAAAAAAAACAUAAAUCACCUGAUUAGAGAUAAAGGGUUCCAAAUAUCAAUACUCCCAUCGACAAGCCCACCAGCAACAAGCCCUAGCGAAAAAUCCUCAGAGCCGGAUCCAUUCUUUCCCCAAGCAAGCCUAUUAAAUCGCUCCGAGCUCGGCGAUUCGCCAACGAGGAGGAGAUCACGAUCCUCUGAUUGGAAAUCAAGCUUGAAGAUCUCAAGGUUCGCCGAGGAGCUAAACGACAGAUCAACUGCUCCCGCCAUCGUUCCUGCCGCCAUGUAAGGCGCAUCCGGCGCAAACGCCGCCGACGCCGAUCUAUUAAUCCCCUUUAUACACGCCAUCGCACUAAUUUCACUCCAAUUCGAUCUGUUUAUUAGAGUGGAUCUAAGAAAUGAGUUUUGGUUUUGUAAUUUUAUUGGGGUUUCUGAUUUAAUUUGAUCUGAUUUUAAUAAGAGAGGAAAUGCCAACACACGAUCUCUUCUUUAUCUAUCCCUCUUUUUCCCCUUGGCCUUGUGAGUGUGUCGUGGAAGUUUAAUGUGUUUUGUUGUUUUAUUUCUUCAUUUUUGGGGGGUGCUUGUGUUACGAUGCACCUGCGCCUCUUUUUAACUCGUGCUUUCUCGGUUGUAAGUUGCACCCAGCCGUUGAGGAUAGUUUUGUAAGCCGAGGGUACAGAGAAUGGUUACUGAUUAGUCUCACUCUCACCUGUACAACGAAGCGUAGCAAGGGAUUAGUGUGACCACUCGCAGGCUAUCUAUUCCAUAAACGAACUCAGGCGUUUUAUUUCAGCUUCUCCAAUCAAAUAAUGACGUGUGUAUUUUAAGGUUUGGUGUUUAAAUUACAUUAAUGAAACGACGGAAUAGCCACCGUUUUGAAAAUUUUAUGUUUUUACAAAAUCUUGAAUUUCAUAUUUUCACUUCAUUUCCGUUACCGCAGUCAGUUGAUUUUGUUCUUUUGAUGAACCGGAUACAAAUUACAGAAAAAAAAAAUAUUUUUUCUCUGUUUUAUGGGUCCAGCUAUGUUGCAACUAUGGUACGGCGCCACAGUUGCUUUCAGUCAUUGGAUCCAAUUAAUGCAACUGUACAAUUGUGGAUCCAAUGACUGGUUACAACUGUGGUACCAUAUCACAAUUGCAACAUAGUUUUGCCCCUGCUUCAUUUUAUAUUUUUUUAGUGGAUGUGAAAAUUGUUUAUAAUUUGGCGGUCAAAAGAAUAGUUUUUAGGUUAAUUGUGACAAUUUUUUAGGUUAGAAACAAAUUAAAAUGAUUUUUUAAUGUUUAAAAAAAUUAAUGGAUUAAUAGUAUAUGUGGAUAAGAUGACCAUGUUUGCAAUUUAUAGGUUUCAUUUUUGUGUUCAAUUAUGAUUCCAAAGAAAUAGUACUUACAAUAAAAAGAUUGUUUAGUUAAUAUUUAGAAUAAGGGAAAAUAUCUAGCGUCCACCCGUUUUUUCCAACUUUUUCAAAAAUACACAAUUAUUUUUUUUUUUUUGCUGGAAUCCACCUGAAAUUGCGUUUUGUUUCACUUUUCCACUUCCGUUUGGAAUCCGUUAGGAAAACUAACGGAAACUUAGUCAAAUGACUAUUUUACCCCCCCCCCCCCCCCAAACUUAGUAAAACACUAAACUAAUAAAAAGAAAUCAUCUUCUUCUCCUCCUCUAUUUACUAUCCUUGCUAUGGUCGCCCGAGUCGUCUUCAUCGUUAUCAUUAUUGUUGUCAUCUUCUUCUUCAUCGUCAUCAUCUUCCAUCACUUCACAAGGUGAAUUCUGCUUCAUUCUUUUUAAGGCACCGUCUUGCCACUCGUUUGAGCAGCAACUAGGUCUUUACGCAUAGGGCUGGUCAACUCGAUGGUCGAUCCUUUCAGCGCUGUUUUGCAAACCGUGACAUUGUUGCUCGGCUGGUAAAACUGAGGCCAGACGCCGUCACAUAAGCUGACGUCCUUGUAGUAGACCGCCACCGAGCUGCCUCUCUCGUAGUAGAUGCCGAUCUUGUCGUCGACGGAGUAGUUGGGGGCUUCGGGACGGAAGACGAGGUAGAAGAUGCCGGCGGCGAUAGCCAAGAGGAGGACGAGGAGAAGCAGCGAGUAGCAGCAGAAACGGAAGCAGCAGCAGAUAGUACUGUGGGAUUUACGGCGGCGGGAGCACGAGUGGCAGCUUGUUCGUUGACGUAGGUUCCUACGGCCGCGGGCGCCGGCGGAUGUAAGGGCUCUUGUUCGUUGCGUGGUGUCGUUUUGGGAUGGAUCCUUUCAGCCAUUUUAAGUAGCAGCUAGCGCUACAACUGAAGAAAUUUAAAAGAAUCAGCUCUUUUGCCCUGAGAGCUUUUUCUGAAGAAAAUUACGAAGUUGUUGAAUAACAAAAGGAGAUCUCUAAAGAAUUUUUGGAAACAAUUGGAGUAAAGCUCUCUGUCAAGCCUGGAUUGAAUUGUUCGAAGAUCAAUGUGUUGUAAACGACGUCGUUUGGGGUUGCUCUGCUGAAAUGAUUGAUUUGCCCCUACGACAUCAAUAAUGUUAUAACGGAUUCCAAACGAAAGUGGAAAAGUGAAACAAAACACAAUUUUAUGUGGAUUCCAGCAAAAAAAAAAAAAAAGAAUUAUGUAUUUUUGAAAAAGUUAAAAAAAACGGGUGGACGGUGGAUAUUUUCCCUUAGAAUAAUGCCACGCUUAGAAAUUCGAAGUAAAACAUUUAUAUUAUACUUUGUACGAUAAUAUUCUGUGAGUGGUUGAGAUUUGAGAACAUGGAUAAGGAUUCAAUAUGGUAGUUAAAUAAGAUAAAUAAAAAAAAUAAAAAUUUAAAAUAAUUCUAAUAAUUGAUUCAGUGCUCAAUAAAAACUUAACUCAGCACUGAAUCAUGAUCUUGAGAAUAUAUAAUACAUUUAAUUUUUCAUGUCAUCAAAUGAUGUAGAACUAUUAACUAAUAAUUUUUUAAUACAUGUCAAUAACUUUUAAACCUAAAAAUUAAUUUAUUACAAGUCAAAGAGUUCUCUCUCUUUCUCUCUCUUUCCUCCGUUUUCAAAAAUUCCUCUUUCCUCUUUCGAAUUUCAAGAAUAGAAAACUAAGAAAUAUUAAUUUAUUAAAAACUACAAAAAUAUAAAUUGAAUAAAAUACCUUUGCAAGUCUCUUUCCAAGAAACAUCUCCAGCCCUCCAUUUACUUAUGCAUUUUUACAUAUGAGGAUGAAAAAUAUUAGUUAGUGAUUCUAGAUCAUCUGCCGAUGUAAAAUAUCAUAUGUAUUCUAAAAUUUUUUCAUAUUAAAAUAAUAAUAUUGAAAAUAAGAAGUUUGAAAGAAGAGAAAUAAGUUGUCGUUAAACUUAGUGAAAAAAAAAAACAGUAUGGUUUUCAAACCGCCACGUGUUAAGUAAUUAUCUAACAUGUCAUAUGAUUGUCAAGCAUUGCGAAAGACUAAAACCCGUUGCGAGGAAGAAAGUUGGACUGAAAUUGUCUGAGAACUAUGCUUAGACAAAUCAGAUAGAAUAUAAACUCUAACAAUUUAAAGUUAAAAUUUCACACUUCUAUCUAAUGAUAAUCACAUUUUUGUAUUUUAAAAAAGAUUAAAAAAUUAUCGAUUAAAGACUCUUAGCAGCUGUCGAUAAGGUGAUUGAUUCACAUCUAAUUUUUUAUUUUAUUUAAUUUACUUUCUACCCAAUAUCUUUUGUGGCGCGUUGUAUUUAUAAUAAUGUAAAUUUAUCAUUCAUCAGUUUCUUCUAUUUUUCUUUUAUUUGUAUUUUUUAUUAUUUUGAAUUAAAACUGCGUUCUUAUUCUUGAAAACAAACAUUUCAAAAAAAAUUGUGAUUGAGAAUAUAAACUCUUAGAGUAUCACCAAAAAGCUCUUCAAAUAAGAUUUUAUUACUUAUUUGAAGAGCCACAUUAAUAUUUAAAGUUCCAAAAGACACUUCAAUUGAGAUUCUUCAAAUAAGAAUUGAUUCUCUCUUUUCAAAUUUGAAGAGUUAAUUUCUCACUCUUCAAUUUAUAUUUUAUUACUUUUCAUUGAAGAAAGAGAGAGAAGUGCUUUAAUUGAUAUUGAUUUUUCCUUAAAAAAUAAUUAUUUGAUUAAAAUAAUAUUAACUUAUUUCAAUUUGAAGAGUCUUUUGGAGAAUAUUAUAUUUUUUCACCAUUCUAUUUGCCACAUAGGUAAGCAAAUAAGUAUUUGAAAAGUAAAAUUUAUAGAGGCUUUUGGAGAUUAUACGUGGAAGUAUUUUAAUAUUCAAGGAAAAAUGGAGAUACAUAAAAAAAAAAAAAAAGGAAAAAACUUUCAUUUUCAAUCAAUAACCAUAGCUCUUAUUUAUAGGAAAAUGUAACUGACCAUUUGAAUUUUGAAAUCACUGUUAAAAUCCUGAGUUCAAUGGACCAUUAGAAUUCGGAAUUCAAAAUACAGAAUUCAAAACUUAUAGUACAAAAUUUAAAAUUCAAGAUCUAGAAUUCAAAACUUAUGAACUAAUAGAAAUAAAUUCAAAAGGACGAUAAAUAAAUUUGCAACAUUAGUUUAAGUUUUUAAUUUAAAAAUUGAUGUGUCAAUACUCAAUAUACUAUUAGUUUCAUAAAUAUAAAUUUAGAAGUAAUUAAUAAAAUACAUAAUUAAUCAAAUGAAUUAUUUGAAUAUUAUCCAAUUACUUUACAGACACAUCAAAAUUUGGUAAAAAAAUCGCAUAUCCCUUAUAAUUUAUCGGCUAAAAAAAAUAGCAUUGCCCGUACAAACACACUGAAGGUCUAAGAAUCAUAUAUAUCACCCAAUGCUUCAGCAUUCAUUAAAAUGAACGAGUGCAUGUGAGCCCCAAAAUCCUACCAAUAAAAAGCAGACAAAUUAAACAUAACAAUUAAUGGAUGAUAUUAAAUCUACAAGCCAGCGUGGUGUAAUUAAUUUAAAUAUCCAGUACUAUUUCUGCAAGUUCGCGCUCUGUUUCUUCCUGAUCAUCGCAUCGGCAUCAGCAUCAGCAUCAGCAUCAUUUCCCAAAUCAAGCGGCGGGUUAUGCCUCCCAAACGGAAGCUUGAUUUUGCCUAUUGAACGAGCUUGAAAUUCUCACAGUUGCAAAUCUCGAUCAUAAAUCCAUCAGGGUCAUCGAAGAACAUCUGAUCAAUCGCAUUUCCACUUUGAUCAUCCUUCACCGUCCUCUUAAUAUACUUGACGUCCAACUCCUUCAAUCUCUUCUCAAUCGCCUCCAUGUUCCCACACUGCAUGCAUGCCAACACACACAAAACACAUACGUACGUAUUAUGUGAUAUAUAUAUUACACAAUGGCAAACAACAGCAGACAAAAACGAAAUUGAAAAAAAAAAGGUGAAAUACGUAUUAGUUAAACUGUACAUAUAUGUGUGUAGUAAACUCAAAGAUAAAUUGAAAGAUAAAGGAAACUCUAAUACAAUAUAUUUUAUAAUGUAAUAUAUUAAAACUUAUAUUAUUUUACUUGGUUCAUGGUAUGGUACCUGAAAAGAGAUAUGGUUAUCCAUGGAGUCUAAGUGGGCGGAAUCAGGUGGAGACAACUUAUCUUCGUCGUUGGACUGCACCAAGUGAACUCCAACUCCAUAACUGAACAGCCAGGCGCCAGCGAAAUCGAAAGCUGGAGGUCGCUCAAUCAAGACAAAGCCAAGAACUUUGGUGUAGAAAUCAAUAGAAUCCUCGACGUUUCUGCAGAGUCUUGAAACGUGAUUCAGUGACAUUAAAGGAAGUUCAGGUUCCUUCUCAUCAGCUUCUUUCUUGUUAUUGUCCUCUUUGUUUACUCUCGUUUCUCCAUUCGAUUUACAGGCCUCUUUGUUUUCCUCCAUUAUUGUCAGUCAACUCAUCAACUGACCGUGGCAGCUAGCAACAACGUUUGAGAGUCCGUUCGGAUCCACCUAUAUAUUUGUAUUAGCUGCUAGGAGGAAGGUCGCCGCGUGCACGUGGAGGAAUAGACAUAUAAGAUGACACGUGGCGGAAUGCAUGAAGUGCUUAAUCUGCCGUGUUGAGUUUUUACCGAGGGACGCCUGUCCUCCUGUCCCGUGAUGACAAGCAGGCCUUUUCUGUUGAGGCCAGUAGUCACCGGUGCAUGGCUUACCUCCUACAGUGGGUUUUAAAAUAUAUUCGUAAUAUGUUUUUAGCGGCAUAUUUCUAGUGUCGGCGUUAAUACAUCUUUUAAAAAUACGAUCGUAUUAAAAAAUCAUAAAAAGUUUCAAAUUUGAAGCACUAUAAAGUAUAACACAAUUUAUUUUAAUUAUUACAAAAUAAAACAAUACUUAUAAUAUAUACCGAUUACUUUUAAGACUCGAAGACAUCCGUAAACAAUGCCUCACUUCUAAUUUGAAAUAUUUCAUAAUUUUUUUCUAUUUUAAAGUGAUUUAUUGGCCAUUUUGAACGAGUUUAGUAAUGCUAUAUUUUUUAAAAUAAUUACUAUUAAAAUAUCACUAACAAACUCUUCAAACAAUAUUUACUUCUCAUUUGAAGAGUCACAUAAAUAAAAAGUAUUCCAAAAGACUUUGGAAAUGAAAUUCUUCAAAUGAGGUUGUCAUAUAAGAGAGAAAAGGACAAUCUUAUUCGAAGAAUUUCAUUUUUGGAGCCUUUAAUUUUUAGUAUUGUAUUAUUUUUUUAUCUUCUCGCUCUUGAAAGGAGAGAUGUAUUAUAAUUGUUAUUGUUUUGGUGAAGAAAAAAAUUUGAUAAAAAUAAUAUGAAUAUAUUUUUAUUCGAAGAGUCUUUUGGGAGAUGACGAAUUUUUUUCCACUUUUCUAUUUACCACAUAUGUGAGUAAAUAAAUAUUUAAAAAGUUAAAUUAGAAAAAUCUUUUGGUGAUACUCUUAACUUUACUGUAAAAAUAAUCAACAGUGAAGAUAAUCAGUUAAAUAAUUAGUAAAAUUUAUUUCUAAAUGUGUUAUGUAUUAUAAAAACGGUUUAUGUGUUUGUUAAAUUUUACUAUUAAAUUAUUGUAAUAAUAUAAAUGACUAAAUUAAACAUAAUAUUAAACAAAAUUUAUUUAAAUAUUUAUAAAAAUAUACAUAAAAUAAUUUUUUUAUUAUGUACAUAAAAAAUUGAUAACUAAAAUAAAAUUUAUUAUUAUUAUUAUUUUUUAUUUUAUUAUCUCAAUAUAAUUAAUAAUAAUAAUAUCUUUAAAGUUAAUGAUUUUAUUUAUUAAUAAACAAGGAUAAUUUUAUAUUUAAAAUAUAUGUUAGGAUAUAUAUAGAACUGCAUUAAAUAUAAAAGUAAUUUCUAAAAUAAGAUUUUAAAAUACUAUUUCUUUAUUACUUUUCAAAAUCUAUAAUAUAAUGAAGUAAUUUAUAAAAAAUAAUUCUUAAAUAAUAAAAUUAAUUUUAACUUCUUGAAAUCAGUCCUUCGCGGCCCUACCUGGCUACAUAAGAUUUGUACUUCUUUUUAUUUGAGUUGACUUCAUCGUAUUAAUAGGUUUGUUACUUUGUUAGUGCCGAGUACCAAUAACAACAAUAACAACAACAACAACAGCAACCAUUUCCAUUUCGAGACCCACCACCAAACCCAAACACGAACAAAACUCACCAACACGCACGGCACGUACCAGGCGCGCACUCAGCAUCACACAUCACAUCACUUCUGUUCUGUUUCUCUAGCCUCUUCCUCCGCUGUCUGUUCGCUCGCACUCUUGACGAUUCACCCAAACCAACCAAAUCAAACAUGUACAGGGACGUGUCGAGCUGCAACACAUACAACUAUGGCGACGCCCUCUACUGGAACGCGCGAUACGUGCAGGAGGGCGGCUCCUUCGAUUGGUACCAGCGUUACUCUGCUCUCCGUCCUUUUGUUCGCAAAUAUAUCCCCACUUCUUCUCGCGUCCUCAUGGUCGGCUGUGGCAAUGCCCGUAAUUUCUCCUCCACUCCGUACCUCUUUUUCUGUUUCUUCUACUUUGUCUUUGUUGUUCCCUUUUUUAAUUUAUUUCUUUUAAUUUCUCUGUUUGUUUGGUCGCGGCUGUUAUUUUUUUUUUCUUUAAAAAAUAAUAUAUUUGAAUUGCUUUCCACUACUGUCCUGUUUGAUUGCUAAGAGAACGCGGGAAAAUGGGGAGGAAUUGGAGUUUGCUUGUGAUUGCGAAUUCUCUUCUGAGAGUCUAGGGUUUGAAUUAAUUAGACCGUUGGAUUCUUGCAAAUCUGGAAUAGCACAUUUGAGAUGUUAUCUAAUUAUUGGAUAGUUUAAAUCUUUAAUAUUUUCUCGAUACUGUUUGAUGAAUCGUGCUUGUAAUGGAAAGUUGUUGAAUUUCUUUGUAGUGAUGUCAGAGGACAUGGUGAAGGAUGGAUAUGAAGAUAUAGUGAACAUUGAUAUUUCUUCGGUGGCUAUCGACAUGAUGAAAAUGAAAUAUGAGGAAAUCCCUCAGCUAAAAUGUACCCUCUUUUUACAAACAUUUUUACUAUUUCCUGUUACAUUAUUUUUCUCCUUUCUCUGAAGUAACCACGGCUAUUUCUGUGUUUGUUUUCUUUAUCAAUCUCAACAGACCUGCAAAUGGAUGUUAGGGAUAUGAGCUUCUUUGAAGACGAGUCUUUUGAUGCUGUUAUUGAUAAAGGUAUGGCUUUAAAUUUGUGAUAUUUAUUUAUUUAUUUAUUUUUAAGUUGUGGACUUUGAUGUUAAGUUAGUUUUUGGUAUGUGGUGAUACCUUGUUUUGCGGCUGAAUCUUCACUCGUGGAUUCCCUAUCCAAAAUCUAGGAACUCUUGAUUCUUUGAUGGUACGAUGUGUAUACAAAUCUUCUUACGAUUGCUUCUACUCAUUUUUUAGCAACUUCAUAUAUUUCACCCCUUUCUAGAUAAGGAUUUUUUUUUUUUUUUUAUGCUUUCCUGAUGCUUGUGAUUUCCAGUGUGGGACCAAUGCUCCGAUUAGUGCUUCUCAGAUGCUGGGAGAAGUGAGCAGGUUGUAGACUUAAUUACCAGAAGUUGUAAUUAUGAUGAUCUUGAUCUGUACUGUCAAUAAUGUUAAAGGUUCACUUUUCUUAAUCCUAAAAUUAGAAUAAUCUCAUUGUUGGUUUCGUUAUAUUGUGUUCCUGGGAAGGGGUAGGUGUAUUCAUUUUAGACUGUUUCUCCCAGUCUUCAUCAUAUCUGUGUGUCUUCAAUUGCUAUAUCUUAAGCUAAAUUUCAUUCUUUUUUCUCCUGCAGGCUUCUUAAACCCGGAGGGAUAUAUAUGUUGGUAACGAUUCCCCUAGAGAAUUAACGUUAUUUCGGUAAUUUUUUACUUCAUUGUAUAUAUGUGAUUUGUUUCAAAUUUGCGGUCAACAGAUAACCUAUGGUGACCCGAAAGCAAGGAUGAUUCAUUUGAAAUGGAAGGUCUACAACUGGAAAAUUGAACUGUACAUAAUAGGUAAGUUCUCUUUUUCCCCUUUGGCUGUUCAUAUUCUUUCACCAACCAAUUCAAAAGGAUUUUAAUCACGUGAGAGUAUCUGAACCUUUUAGUGCUUUUAGAUAAAUCAUCCUUUAAAUGAAACAAAUACACACACACACACACACAAAAAUAUACAUAUACAUAUAAUUCAUCUUUAGGUUAUAAUUCUACUUGUUGCUUAAUAUUAUCCAAUGAAUCUUAUAUUUUAAGCGAAUGGAAUUCAGAUAAUUUAAUGAGAUCAACUUGAUUGAUGUAUAUGUUGAUAUCUUAUUCUAAAAUCUAAAGUUUGUUUCUGUUUUUGCUCAUUUCAAGGAGUCCUACUAGAAUUCUGAUUUUUAAUUUUUUUAAUUCUGGAAGUGAGAUUUAAGACAGCGUAUAAUGUCUUUGGGACUGGUGGAAGCACCUACGAGAUCCAUCACCAUACAUGGCUGUGGAUCUGGUUGGUAAACACCGCCACUCAUAUCAAAUAUACAUGUGCACGAGGUGAUCGGUAUGUGGUUUUGUCGAAGUGAAUUGCAAGAUGAGGAGUCCAAUCUCAAGUCUCAACUUUUCAUGGUCUUGAGUUCAGAUCUUUGGAGUCCGAGUUUUGGACAGGAUUUCUUAUUCUAUUUCCUAAUUGGUUUCACCAGUGACAAAUACACAUAGGGCACCACUUUUACGAGGGCUCUUGCCAUUACAUGGCAGGAAUAAUAUGGAUGAUUUUGUCAUUGAGGAAAUGGAAAUGAAUUCCAAGUAGCUCUUGGUGUCCUUAGAUUUGUUGUACCUUGAGAUUUAUGCUUCUGUCUUGCCUUCAAUUUGUGUUUUUUUUUUUUGGUUAAUUUAUUUAUUCUUGGUUGAGGGAAAGGAAUCUUAAUUUCUGUUUUAACAAUCAGUUUUCUCAUUUGUUUGCAGCAAGACCAGGAUUUGAAAAGCCCGGAGGCUGUAGUUCUUCGAUGAAAUCAUAUCUGGAACCUGUUCCCAUCACUGAUGACGGCCAACUUCCAGCAGAAUUUGUUUUGGAAGAUCCAGAUUCUCACUUUAUAUACGUGUGUAAAAAGAUGAAUGAUAUGGAUGAAAAUCAUAUACCCAGCUAUACAUUGAAAGGUGAUAUUUUAUAGGGAACACGUUUCAAUGAAGCUCCCAGGUGCUCUGCUUAACAAACUUCAACAUGUAUCCUUGCGAUCUGUACCAUUAGUCUCCUCUUGUACAACUCGGAACUAGUAUUAGGCAUUCCUACAGUGUUUGUGACAUAAGUAUUACUCUAUCUUUAUGUUCCAACUUGUUCAUUUAGUUUUAGGAUUUGAAAAAUAAGAUUGAAACGAGAUGAUGAAUCCCCACGAGAGAGACAGCAUUAGUUAAGUAAAUUCAGACUUGAUUACUUGUCGGGAGUUAAUAUCGAAGUUUAUUUUGAUUUAAUAGUUUUAGCAUUUAAGCCAAUAUGGUGAAUCCUUGGAAUUGAAUAUUUAAAGAUUUCAAAGUUUUGGAUUGAAUUAGUGGAAUUUGUAAUUUACAUAAUUGAGAUUCGCUCCCCCCACCUUUCCCUUUUUCUUUUUACCUAUCUAUUACUAGUACUAAUGGUGGUGGUUGAUGAUACUGUUGUAAAUGCUUGCACCUUUUCCGCGGGUGGCGAUGGAACGGCGCAAAUUUGACAUUACCGCUACUGACAAAACAAAUGAGAGAGAAAUUGAGAGGGGCCCUUUUCACAGCCGUUGUAACCUAUACCAGCCUAUUCGAAUCAGUCUCUUCUCCUCAGCGAAUUCGUAUUUCAAAGCAUUCAUUAAUUAAGUCCUCCCUCCUCCCUUCGCCCGCGUGCAAUGUGUAAGGAGACAUCCGUAUCUGAAGUUGUGUUAUAUAACAAAGCUAUCUCUAACUAAGCAGGUAAUUAGGUUUGAUAUUUGUUAAGAUUUGAGGGUCCAUAAAUAAACAGGCCAUUCCAUAUUAAAAAAAAAAACUAAGAAAAACAGGUGGGAAUCGUAUGCAUUAAACAAAUUUACACAUUUCUUUCGUACGUAUUGAUAGACUCUCAAGGUCUUUCGUGUGUUAAGUGAAAGUUAUCACCACCAACUAUUUCUCUAAUUAAGAAAAAUGUCUUACUCGUUAAGUACGCGGGUAAUUCAUUUAUAACCUGCAUAAUGUGAACAUAGAUUAUCGCGUUUGGUUGGUUUCUUGGUUCAGUGUCUGUCAGAAUUCUCUAUGUAUGUGUAUCUUCACCUUCCAAUUAUGGAUCAGUAAAUUUAUUAUCGUUUUCCAAAAUAGCAAGACUAUUUCUUGCUUACAGGCCACAGCUCACACCAUUAAUUAGUUUCUCCAUUUCGUGUGUUAAGUGAAAGUUAUCACCACCAACUAUUUCUCUAAUUAAGAAAAAUGUCUUACUCGUUAAGUACGCGGGUAAUUCAUUUAUAACCUGCAUAAUGUGAACAUAGAUUAUCGCGUUUGGUUGGUUUCUUGGUUCAGUGUCUUUCAGAAUUUUCUAUGUAUGUGUAUCUUUACCUUCCAAUUAUGGAUCAGUAAAUUUAUUAUCGUUUUCCAAAAUAGCAAGACUAUCUCUUGCUUACAGGCCACAGCUCACACCAUUAAUUAGUUUCUCCAUAUAUAUAUGUAUAAAAACGCUGAUUCUGACUCCAAUGUCAGUUGAUCAGUUUUGAGUAAUGUCUGGCUCCGGUGCAGUGGAAUCGGGAGAGAGGCAGGUUGCCCUUUCCCAGGAUAAUCUCAAAGGAAAUAAGCUUUUGCCACAAAGAUAUGACUCAUUAGACCUCGAAUCCGGUGCGGUUUCCGGUUACCAUCGCCGUAGCUCAAAGGUGAUCGGCUGGAACCCAAUAAACUUUUAUUAAUUUCUUGAAAACUAACUCAAAUUUAUAUAAUUUUGUUUCAAUUUCCUCUUUUGUUUCCAAGGCUAUGAAGUGGUUGGUGAUACUGCAACUAGCAUUCCAAAGCAUUGGCAUAGUGUAUGGAGACAUUGGUACGUCGCCCCUGUACGUGUUCUCGAGCACUUUUCCUAAUGGAAUCAACCAUGCAGAUGAUGUUCUGGGUGUGCUUUCAUUGAUUCUAUAUACACUCACUUUGAUCCCUCUCAUCAAGUAUGUGUUCAUCGUCUUGCAUGCCAACGACAAUGGUGAUGGUAAGAUAGAUAUCAAUUCAUAUUUAUUCUCCUUAAUCGAUAUAAAUAAGAUAAAGAGUAAGAUCAAAAGGAGGAUGCGUAAUUUUAUUUGAAGUGUGAUGAUGAGAUAUAUACAUUAUGAAGGUGGGACAUUUGCUCUCUACUCUUUGAUAUGCCGAUACGCUAAUGUGGGCUUGGUUCCGAGUCAACAAGCCGAGGACAGCAAUGUUUCCAAUUUCCAGCUUGAGUUGCCGGGCAAUAAACGUUCUAGAAUGGCGUCGAGUCUCAAGUCCAAGCUUGAGAACAGUCGGGUUGCCAAGUUUUUCUUAUUCUUUGCCACCUUACUCGGUACUUCCAUGCUCAUCGGGGAUGGUGUUCUAACUCCUUGUAUCUCAGGUUAAUUUGCGCAACCUCUUUGAUUCAUCAUGUUAAAUUUUAAACUCAUCGAUCCAAUAGAGACUCUCAUGCUGUUGUUAUUGCUGUUAACAUAAAGGGCAGUCUUAUCAGCUGUGGGAGGCAUCAAGGAAGCCACUUCUGCAAUGACAGAAGGUACUUUCUCGUGUAACUGGAAACAGUAAUAUUGUGCCUUGACCUCCUAGCUGUUGUAGGCAAUCUUGUGGCCUAAACAGAUUUCACAUGAUAUGUUUACUAAUAUUUGCCUGCCUCCUCUUCUUAAACAGAUAGGGUUGUUUGGAUAUCAGCAGCUAUCUUGGUUUGCCUUUUCUUGUUUCAAAGGCUUGGAACGGACAAAGUGGGAUACACAUUUUCUCCAAUACUUCUUGUUUGGUUCGCAUUCAUUGCUGGAAUUGGCAUCUACAAUAUUAUACACUAUGAUCCAACAGUAAUUAAAGCUUUAAACCCAAGGUACAUCGUUGAUUAUUUCAGAAACAACCAGCAAGAUGCUUGGAUAUCCCUUGGUGGCAUUAUCCUGUGCACUACAGGUACUCUUUCCAGCCAUUAGUAUAUAAAGUAAUUAAAUAAUACCUUGAGCAAUCUUCCAAGCUUUUUGUUUAUUUAUUUAUUUAUUUAUUUUUAAAUCAGGGGCGGAAGCAUUAUUCGCCGAUGUUGGCCACUUCACAGUUCUGUCGAUACAAAUAAGCACCUGCGGUGUGGUCUACCCGGCUCUCAUUUUGGCUUAUACCGGACAAGCUUCCUUCCUUCGCAAGCAUCCUGAUCUUGUCUCGAAUACCUUCUUCAAGUCUGUACCAGGUAAAGAAUUAUUUGUUUUUUUCAUUUUUUAUUGCCCUCGUUUCUUUAUCUUUUGAUCAAGUAGUGACAUAUAUGGGUGUGUGGUGAAAUAAUUAUCAGGUCCUGUGUACUGGCCAAUGUUCGUGGUGGCGGUAUUGGCGGCAAUCAUAGCAAGUCAAGCUCUAAUUUCAGGAACUUUCUCCAUAGUCCAACAAUCCCUUGCACUGGGAUGUUUCCCUCGUGUCAAAAUCGUACAUACUUCGUCUAAGUAUGAAGGACAGGUUUACGUUCCCGAAGUCAAUUACCUACUCAUGCUCGCUUGCAUAGGAGUUACUAUGGGUUUCAGGACAACCGUAAAGAUUGGCAAUGCAUACGGUAAUUAAUCGACAACUCAAAUAAUUCAAUUUCCUGCUUUAUUCACUCACAAAACUAAAUCGUGCACAAUAUUCAAUCUGAUAGUAAUCAUACUAAUGCAGGGAUUGCGGUGGUGUUUGUUAUGACAUUGACAUCAUCCUAUCUGGUACUUGUCAUGAUAAUGAUUUGGAAAUCCAACAUACUUUAUGUAAUCUCUUAUGUUCUUAUAAUUGGUUCUGUGGAGCUCAUCUAUUUAAGUUCAGUUCUCUACAAAUUUGAUCAAGGAGGAUACUUGCCAUUGAUCUUUGCUGCGGUUCUAAUGACUAUAAUGUAUGUUUGGAACAAUGUGUAUCGAAGGAAGUAUUUUUAUGAGGUGGAGCACAAACUCUCUCCGAGAAGGAUAAAGGAUAUAGCUGCUAACACAAACAUUUGUCGAAUUCCUGGACUUGCCUUGUUCUACUCUGAGCUUGUUCAGGGCAUCCCUCCUAUAUUCAAGCAUUAUGUGGAGAAUGUACCUGCAUUGCACUCGGUCUUUGUUUUCGUCUCCAUCAAAUCUCUACCUAUUAGCAAGGUUCCAGCAGAUGAACGAUUCAUUUUCCGUAGAGUGGAACCAAAGGAGCUUAAUAUGUAUCGUUGUGUUGGAAGAUAUGGUUACAUGGAUGUACGAAAUCAGGAAGAGCCCUUCGAGAGAAUUCUUGUUGAAAAUUUGAAGCAGUUCAUUAGAGAUGACUACAAGUUCUCUCCACAGAGCCAGGAGUCUGCUCACGACUCGGACGAGGAUACCAUCCAUGGGGUGCAAAAAGAGGCACUGGAAAGAGAUAUUGAAGCAGUUGAUAAAGCGUGGGAAGCUGGAGCUGUUCACUUGAUUGGUGAAAAUGAAGUGGUUGCAGCCGAGGGAGCUGGAAUUGGGAAGAGGCUUAUGAUAAAUUAUGCCUUCAAUUUCUUGAAGAAAAAUUUGAGAGGAAGUGAGACAGUGUUUGAUAUUCCUCACAAGCGCAUGGUUAAAGUGGGAAUGACUUAUGAGCUUUAGAUCACUUCAUUAUAUAUGCACCUAUGCAGAUGCAGUUGGUUUGAUAGACUUGUAAGCCUUAUGGUGAAUGUAUAUGUAAAUUAGAAUAUUCUUAUAUUAAUAAUUUACCAAUUAGAAACUCAAGUCUUGCAAUUUACUGUUUAUUGAUCUAAUUCUGCAAUUUUUCUGCUACAUAUAUCGACGCUAUUAUCCGACGUGGGAGGCACCAAGGCAAAUUUGUUGAAUAUAUCUUUAUGCCUCAUUUAACAAACAGAUGCGCUUGUCUCCUCUUUUAGUGCAGAGAUAGGAUUGCUUGGAAAUUUGGGUGCUAUCUUGGCUGGCUGGCCUCUUCUUAUUUCAAAGAUUUGGAGGCUUGGCAAUGGCAGCAAUUCAAGCUCUCAAGUUUUCCUCGUGCCAAAAUUGUAGGUAGGUGGUGCAAGUAUGAAGGGCAAGUUUGUGUUCCUGAAGUACAAAACAAGUAAUUUUGUUGUAUUAUUGAGAAAGUCCUGGAAUUCGAGCUUACAUGCUGUAUGAUUGCGGCCGUUUUGGAUUCACUAGUGAUAGAAGUACAAAAAAUAACAUAAAAGUAGCAUCUCAUCAUUAUAGGAUAAAAUAUAUAUAUAUACACUACAUAAUUCACUAUAAAAUCAAACCUAUUUUUUUAAAUCUUUUGUAAUUUUUACUCUUUUCCAUACAAACAUCAUUAUUCUUUUGGAUAUGAAUUUAACCGUGAAAGUAGUAGAAUAAUGGUUCCUUGGAAUUGGGUCUUUUGUGCCAAUAAUAAGAUUAAUUGCCGAAUUAUUUUCGCUAGAGUUGGCAGGCUUCAUUAUAUUGUUACAUUAUGUGAGCAUAUAACAGGUGUGGAUGCUUUUAUUUUAGUCUCGUUGUAUUCAAACUACUUGUUAUUAAAAAUUAAUAAUACACGCGUGAAUUAACAAAGUAUUAUAACACGAUUGGGUAAACAAAAUUAUGUGGGUCAUGUAGUUUAUAAAUUUAAAGUAUAGAUGACAUCACCUACAAUUUAGGAUCAUGUAUGACAUGCCAUUUGCUUGUUCAGCACAUAGAUGACAGGUGUAAAAUUUUUACUCCAAAAAUAAAGUCUGUAUGACACGUAGCUUAUUACUUCAUCAAAUAUAACUUAUCAUAAACGUUUUCUUAACAUGAAUUGUAUGUUGUGUUAGUAUCUUUUUAAUUCUUUAAAUAAAGUAAUAUAACUUAUCAUUAGAUGUUCAUUAUAGUAUAUAUAUAUAUAUAUAUAUAAUUAGAAAAAAAAAUGAAUUUAUGUAAAUUUACUUUAUCAAAAUACAAAUCUUACACGUCACUAGUUUUACAGUUGACGCAGCUUUUUCAUUUUCUUGGUUUUUAGUAUCAGCAUGUAAUGAUGGCUAAUAUGUCGUGUCGACAACAUCGGCCCACACGAGCCUGUGGGCCGGCACGACCCACUAAUUUGGUGGGUUGUGCCCACUUUUUUUUAUAAGAGCCCAGCACGGCCCACGGCACGAGCCCACUCGUGUUGUGUCCAAAAAAAGCCCACCAACCAUUUUUUCCUCUUUAAGCCCACAUGUCCAGCAUACCUAAAAAAGUCCACGUGUCUGCCGUGUUUUAUUCAAGUCCACGUGUUUAAUGUGAUUUUUUAAGGCCAUCCAUAAUAAUAAUAAUAAUAAUUUCAUAGAUCAUAGUAAUGAUUAAUGAAAAAUAAAAUUACAAUCCUAAAAUAACAAUUACACCUAAUUUUAUUUGAACUACUGAUAUUAUAAUUGCAUUUGAACUCCAUUGAAUGAAAAUGUAAUUUUUAAUUUAUCAUAAAAAUAUUUUGUUCAUAAUUUUAUUUUCUUGUGCAUAAAUAUGAAAAUAUUUCAUUCACAAAUGAAACAUAUUUCCAUUAACUAUUAACUAAGUUACAAUUUCAUAAAUGAAAUAUUAAUGUCAUAAAAUUUUUUAUUUAUCAUUUAUAAAGUCAUGAUAUUUAUUUAUCCAUUUAAUAAAUUAUAAACAUAAAAAAAAUUAGAAUAUUUUUUUAAACUAGGACUUAAAUUAAUUUUUAAAAGCCUAUGCUAAAAAAAUAUAUUGAAAAUUUUAAUUUCAAGAUAUUUGUAAAAUCAUGAUAUUUUAUAUUUAUUUUUCAUUAAAAAAUUUUACUUUGAAAUACUUUAGCCCACGUGCUAUUGAUAGCCCACGGGCCGCAUGCUUAGCCCACCAAUGAAGCGUACUUAUUAUGUGUCUUUUCGCGUGCCUAAAAUUCUAGGCUCGGUACGGCCCAUGUGCGUGUCGUGCUGCGUGCCCUACCGAAAUGUGUUUGUGUUGUGUCGUGCCCAUGCCCGUACCCGUGCCGCAUCUCUAUCGGCAUGUCAUUAAAUUUUCGCUUGAAUCCAUAAUUGUCAGGAUUUUAAAAAUUUAAUAUCCAACGUUGAAUGCACGCGGACACCAAAAAAGAAUAAGGAUGAGAAAGUUUGUUUUAUCACCAAUGCGAUAAUGAUAAAACACAUUUUGAAAAUGUAAAAUUAUCUAUCAAAAUUUACUGAAGCAUCUUGGAAAUUUUAUGUAUUAAAUUUUGCCGUUUUCCAAUGGAAGACUUUGAAAACAAAACACAAAUAUCCAUAAAUAAAAUUACAAUCCUAAAGUUAGAGAAGAGUUGCUUUGCCAAGCAUUUCCUAUUCUUCGCUACCUUGCUUGGUACUUCAAUGCUCGUUGGAGAUGGUAUCCUCACUCCUUGCGUCUCAAAUAUUUGGCUUGCAAAAUUAAUUAUUUUCAUCCUUGAAGUACAUUACAUUACAUUCAUUCAUUCUCUCUCUCUGCUCCAUUUUCAUCCGCCAGUUUUAUCAGCUGUGGGAGGUAUAAAAAAAGCAACAUCCACAAUCACAAAUGGUAUUUUUACCCUACUUGAUAAGAAUUUUCAGGUGCACACAUUUUGCGUUUUCAUAAUAUCUAGGCUUUGAAUUCCAAAUUUCUCUUUGUAUACAGAUAAAAUUGUUUGAAUAGCAGCAUCCAUCUUGGUCUUCCUUUUCAUGAUUCAAAGAUUUGGAAUUCAGAAAAUAUGAUACACAUUUUCUCCCAUAUUUUUCACUUGGUUCGUGUUAAUUGUUUGCAUCGGCUUAUACAAUAUCACACACUUUGACCCAACCAUACUCGGAGCUAUAAAUCCAUGGUACAUCAUUGAUUAUUUCAGAAGGAACAAGAAAGCAGCUUGGAUGACUCUUGGUGGCACUAUCCUCUGCACUACAUGUAUCUCUAGCUAAUAGCAUUUUGAUUCAUCAUAAUUUGGCAAAUUUUUGCGAAUUUAUAAUUUUUUCAAAUGAAUUAAACCAGGAGCCAAAGCAUUAUUUGCGGACGUUGGCCACUUCAUUGUUCUCUCCAUGCAAAUCAACACUUGUUGUUUGUUCUACCCAGCUCUUGUUUUGCAAUACACCGUACAAGCUUCUGUGCUUGUAAAGCACCCAGAAUACGCUAGUGAUGCCUUGUACAAAUAUGUGCUGGGUGAUUCAUAUCUUAUAUGCAGCGCAUUGCUCAGCUUAAUUGCUCCUUAAUCAUUUACAAAUUAUAUAUGCAUAUAUUUUGAUUUAGAAGGGUGUGUGGUAAAACAUUUCAGAUCCUCUAUAUUGGUCGAUGGUUGUGAUGGCUAUAUUGGCGGCAGUCAUAGCAAGGUAGUCCUUAAUUUCAAGAACGUUCUCUAUAAUCCAACAAUCCCUGGCAUUAGGAUGCUUCCCCUGAGUCAAAAUUGUGCAUACAUCAACUAGACACGAAGGUCAAGUUUAUGUUCCCGAGGCCAAUUACCUGCUCAUGCUUGCUUGUGUAUGCGUUAUUUUCAGUUUCAGGAGUUUUGAAAAGAUGAACAAUGCAUAUGGUAAUGAAUUUACCUGUAAUUUUUAAAACUUUUUUCUUUUAGCCUCUUUUAAAUAAUGACAUUUGAAACAAUUGAUGAAUUUAAUUAAGUAUAUACAUAUAUGAAUACAAUACUUGUUGUGGUAUUUGUGAUGGUAUUGACAUCGUGCUUCCUGGUACUUGUCAUGAUUAUGAUAUGGAAAUCUCACAUAAUAUUCAUAAUCUUAUAUAUUGACAUCAUUGCUUCGGUCGAGUUUGUUUAUUUAACUUCAGUUCUCUACAAAUUUGAGAACAUGGUGUGCCACCCAUCUUUAGGCAUUAUGUUGAGAAUAUACCUGCAUUGCACUCUAUCCUUGUAUUCGUCUUUAUCAAAUCUCUACCUAUUAGCAAGAUUCAGCUAGAAGAGCGAUUCAUUUUCUGCAAAUUGGAACCAAAGAAGAUUAAUAUGUAUCGCUGUGUUACAAGAUACGGAUACAUGGACGUCCGCAACGAGUGAGAUCCUUUUGAGGGAGUAUUAGUUGAAAAAUUAAAAGAGUUUAUUAAAGAAGAUUAUGGUUUCUAUCAAGAAGCUAUCGACAAUAGAUCAAGUGCUAAAGACUUGGCUGAUGCAUUCGAUAAUGAAGAGAGUGGCCCUGGUGAGGAUGUGAUGAUUCAUGAAGAGAAACAAAAAGAGGAUAUGGGGAAGGAGAUUGAGACAAUUGAAAAAGCUUGGCAAGCUGGUGUUGUUCACUUGAUUGGUGAGAAUGAAGUGGUUGCAGCAAAAGGAGUUGGAAUUGCGAAGAGGAUUAUGAUAGAUUAUGCAUACAGUUUUUUGAAGAAAAAUUUGAGACAAAGUGACAGAGUGUUUGAUAUUCCUCAUAAACGCAUGCCCAAAGUAGGAAUGACUUAUGAGCUUUAGAUGAUCACUUAGUAUCAAGUUGGUGAGCAACUUGCUCGCUUUUAAGCUUAGAAAAAUCACGACUUAAGUGUAGGAUAUUGAAUGGCUAAAAAUUUAUCAAUAAAUAUGUAGCUUUUCUUUUAUAAAAAUAUAUAUUAGUUGUUAUGAUUAUCUUAUGAUGGCAAUUUCAUUAUAUUUUUUAACUUUUUUUCUAUCCAAGUAUGUCAAAGGUCUAUCUAUAAUUUUUUUAAAAAAAAUCAAGAUAAAAUGUUAGAUUCCAAUUAUGCACAUCAUAUUUGGGGAUUGCAACUUAGACCCCAAUUAGAAUUUAGGUUGAAAUACUAUAAAUAGUGUUUGAGGAUUAAAAUAGAGUGAUCACAAUAAGAUAUUUGCUCAAACAUUAUCGUGUUCUUCUAAAAGUAAAAAGUUAGCAAAAGAGUUAAUAGGCGACCGAGAGGUAAUUAUGGUGAUCUUGAGUAGACAGCCUCGAUUAGGAGGUUAUUUAGUGAUCUCGAGCAGAUCACCUCAACCAGAAAGUUAUUUGAUGACUCGAGCACAUCACCUUGACUAGGAGAUCGACCAGAAGGUAAUUCCAAUUACCUCAACCAGAUGGGUUUUAAAGAAACAUUAGACUAUGUCACCAGAAAGCAAGAUUCAGUCAAAACUUCUCCGAAAUACUAGGGAUCGCAUUCUUAGUGGACUGAAAAGUCAUUACAAGGUCAAAAACCUUAAAACAUAUUCUAAGUAAGGCAUAAGACCUUAAACUGAUAAGAGUUGCUUAAAAUUACUUAAGUCAGUUGAAGGUUAAAAGCCUUGAAAUGUGCUAUAGAUAAGGCAAAAUACCUUAAACUGACAAGAGUUGCUUAAAAUUGCUUAAGUUAGUAAAAGUUUAUAAGCUCAAAACCUCACGUCAAAACUUGAAAUUUGCUCAACUUUUUUGGCCUAUGGCGAGGUUAAUUUCAGCAACCUCGAGUCAACUCAUAGAAGUCACCUUGAGGUCACUUUAAACUUUAUAUAGUUUCCAGUCUUGAUUCAUUAAAACUCUCAACACUAGAAAUUAGGGGAUUGGUGUUUGGGGAUUGAAAUAUGGUGACCAUGAUAAGGUAUUUGCUCAAACAUUAUCGUGCUCUCCUAAAAGUAAAAAUUUAACAAUAGAGCUGAUAGGCGACCAGGAAGUAAUUCUAGUGAUCUCGAGCAGAUAACCUCGAUUAAGAGGUUAUUUGGUCACCUUGACCAAUAGGUUAUUUAGUGAUUUUAAGCAGAUCACAUCGACCAGGAUGUUAUUUGAUGAAUUGAGCACAUCACCUUGACUAAGAGAGAUGAGUUUGGUGAUUUCGUGCAAGUCACCUCAACUAGAAGGUAAUUUCAAUUACCUCGACUAGAUGGGUUUUGAAGAGACAUUAGACUAAGUCACCAGGAAGCAAGACUCAGUCAAAACUUCUCCGAAAUACUAGGGACCACAUUCUUAGUGGGCUGAAAAUUAAUGGUCUUAUUUAGAAUUCUAGGAGGAAGAUUGGGCCAAGUGGAUAACAUCCAGUCAGGGGAUGGGUAUUGGGUUUUCUCUUUUUUGGAGCUUUUGAUCUCUAUUUUUGUUUUAAAUAGAUAUUAUUUAUUUUUAUUCUAAUAAACCCAUAAAUUGACUUGAGCGUAGGAGAGUUCAUGCCGGAAAAACUUCUAGCGUCUCUUAUUGUUCUUUGUGAUUUCAGGUGUUCGAAUGUUAUUUACGAGUGGUCGUAGGGCAUUUUUGACGAUAAUGUUGAUGUAGGGAUUUGAUAUCGAGUCACUAACCAACUCAACCGGAUUUUGACAUUAACAAGUAGUUUACUUCAUAAUUUUUUAUAAAAAUAAUGUUUGGUAAAUUUUUUAAAAGCUACUCAUUUAAUAGCUUUUUACAUUUUGACAACAACUUUUUUUUUAUAAGAAACUUAUUAAAUAAUUUAUCAAUCUUUUUUAAAAUUUCUAAUAUAACUUUAAUAUUUUAAUAAAAAGAUAAUUAUUUCUUAUUUUUUAUAAACUUGAAUACACAUAUAUUUCCAUUUCAUCCUUCAGAAACGGCAAAAAGUAAUUGCAAAGUCAUUAUCUUGCUCUAAAUUUGAUAAUCCUUGACCAUAUCUCUUCAAAUCCCUCACUAAAUUUAGAAAAGAUUUUAAGCCCACAUGGAAACUCAAUCACCCAUUUAUAAAGAUCAACCUUCUUCUAAUUUUGGCAAUGCCUUUAUCAAAUCUACCAAAACAGCAAGGUAUGUAAAUAUAAUAGUGGGACUAACUUUCUCUAAAAUUGUCAAAUAUCUUUUUGCCAACUCUAGCAAAUGGGGCCCUCCGAAGACCAAAAAUACCACCCUACAAAACCAGCAAAACUGGUCAAAAUAGCCCAUACUCUAAAAUUAACAAAUUACUUUACUAAAACCCAUUUUGAUUCCUGAAAACCCCAACAGACCAAAGCCCUCGUUCUAAAUCUGGCAAAAGAACUAGUUAAAAAAAUCUCUUCUUCUAAAAUUGUCAGUGUGCCAGUACCCUUUUGCUAUAACUGGCAACAGAGAUAUAAUUAGACUAGAUAUUACAAAAUAAAACAAAAUAAAAUUAGAAAAACCCAGUAAAAGUAAUAAAAUCCCAAGCCCCAUUUUAAAUGUAGCAAAAGAAUCAGCUACCACAGGUAGCCAGUGAAACCACUAGGAUAAUGAUGAUAAAAAAUCACAUCACUAAGCCAAAUUAAUAAAACAAUCCUAAAAAGACAAAGUCUUUGAACUGAAACUGCCCUAAGUGGGACCCACACAUGAUACCUAAGAAAGUCAGAAAAUGGUAAGUAGGGCCCACGAGAGAUGGGACCCAUGAGCACCCAAACACUCCAAAUGUGGCAAAAGCAAAUAAGGAAUCAAUUCAUGCAAACGCAGUAGACACUCCAAAAUAGAAUAAACAGAGCAAACAGACAGCGCCAUCGGCCAUGCAAACUUGCCGUUUCUAGCCUUAAAGCGCUUAAAUAAAAUUAUAUAUAUUUAUUUAAAGAAAAAACUCUCACGUUAUUAUCAUCUCUAAAUUUGGCAAUCCUUUUCUUUUCCUUCACAUUGAUCCAUUGCCUCAUAAAUGUUUCACAAGGACAAGAACCUAAGACAUUUGACACAAAUUUAUGAACUGUGACAAAGAGAAGUAAUUUUGGUUUCUGUUGGGUUUUUUGUUUCUGGGUUUCUUGAUCAAUUGGAGAAAUUAAAAAUAAAAAAAUAAAAGAUGGGCAGAGGGAAGAUAGAGAUAAAGAGGAUCGAAAACGCAAACAGUAGGCAAGUUACAUUCUCUAAAAGACGAGCUGGGUUGCUCAAAAAGGCUCAGGAAUUGGCUAUUUUGUGUGAUGCUGAGGUUGCCGUUAUUAUCUUCUCAAACACUGGCAAGCUUUUUGAGUUUUCGAGUUCUGGGUACGUUCUGGGUUUUGUUUUCUGGUUGCAUGUGUGUGUUUGGUCAUACUUGUUGAUGGGUUCUUUUCGCUUUUAGAUUUGCCCCUUUUUCCUAACAAUGUUACUUGUUGAUGGGUUCUCUUCGCUUUUAGAUAUUUUCCAUUUUUUUUAACAAUGUUCAUGUUCAGUUAUGAAUUUGUAAUAUAUAUAUUUUUAAUUUUCUUGUGUCGAUUUUUUUUUUAAGUUUACUAAGAUUAUUUGUGGUUUUUUUAAGGAAAAAUUGCUUAAAUUUUUGUAAGUGUUUUUGGAUUUUAUUUGAGAAAUUCUUAUGUUAAUAAGAAAAUUGCUGUAGGAAUUUGCGAUCUUGUCCAACAACUAUGAACAAAUUCAGUCUCUUUCUCUGUCUUUUGCUGUUUUAAAAUCAUUAUACAUGUUAAUUAGGUCUCCACUGCAAUAGAAAUUGUCGUGUAUAAGUGCCCUUCAGUCAGAACUGUUCUAUUGAUAAACUCUACUCGGGAAAUUCUCAAAGUUAUUUUCUAUCAUGUCUAUCGAUUGUCUUUUAAUUGAUGGUGGGGCAUUUCUCGGAGGAGAUGAUCUGAAUUGUUAAUGUUAAAAUCAAAGCAAAAUAAUUUGAUCAUAGAUCGUGUAAAAGGACUACAGGAUCUCAAAAACAGGCUUGAGAAAGGUGGCUGCACACAGAAGAGGAGGAAUUUGUCUCAGUCUUUUUAAAGAAGAUUUGACUUAUUUUAUUUCUUCUUAUUUUUGUAGUAUGAAGAGAACGCUUUCAAGAUAUAACAAGUGUUUGGAUUUUUCAGAGGUCGCUGUGGCAGAAUACAAAACAGAGGUACUAAUUGAUACAUGAUUACACUUGUGAAAGCUGGUUCUACUUAUGGCACUGGGUACAUAUUUCUGUAUCACGAAAAUGAAGCAUUCAUGAAAGAAUUGCUUCUAGGUUCUAGCUUUCACAGUAGUAUAUUGAUCAAGAAACUGCUCGUGUAGAAUUUUUUUCAUACUAGGUAAUAAUUUCUUUGAGAUAUUUCAAAAGUCCAUUUUGCUAUGUUCUUCUUGUUUAAGGGGAAUGGGAUAAGGGAUACACUGCGAGGCACGAAGAGCUUUUGUUAUUCCACUAUCCAUUUCUGAUGAUCAGAAAUUCUUUUUUGUUAUUGAUGUUAUGAUAAGAAAUUCAUUUUUGUGAGUGAUGUUUCCAACUGUUCUUUCCUUUUUUCCACAGAAGCAAGACUCAAAGGAGGUGGAUGGUCUAAAAGAUGAAAUUGCAAAGCUACAAAUGAAGCAGUUGUAAGUCUUUUAUUCCAGUUGAGUAUUGUUCAACAUAUAGAAUUUUUGGAGAAUAACUUGCCUGUACAGAUUUAUAUAAAUAUGCUGAUCAUUGCUCUGAUAUGGCAGACGACUGUUAGGUAAGGACCUGAAUGGUUUGAGCUUGAAAGAGUUGCAGCUCCUCGAACAGGAUCUAAAUGAAGGGUUGUUGUUGGUGAAGGAAAAAAAGGUUAAAAUAAUUUUCCUUUCAUCUCUCUUUUGCCUUUUGAAACCAGCAUUUGCCUGCAAACAGAAAACUACUAGAUUCAGUGGUAGUAGUUAACUUUCACAAUUUCAGGAGAAAUUACUGAUGGAGCAACUGGAGCAAUCAAGGGUACAGGUACAUAUGAUUAUUAAGACUGCAUGUCUUUACUAGAUCAGACUGUGAUCAAACACUUGAAAAAGAGAGAAAAAAGAACUAUGAUUAGCUGAGAUAUACAACCGAAAGUUUUCUGAACCUAAUGUAAAAACCCUCAACUUUUUAUGCCUUUGGGCUUGAUGCCAUCAGUGGCAGCACUCUGCAUCUUUGGUGGUAUCACUUUACAUUAAUGAAGCUGUCUCUCUUUCUUUUCGCCCCUUCAUUAUGAGUAAUCACUUUCUCUAAUAUCUUGAUUUCAGGAACAGAGGGCUAUGCUGGAGAAUGAAACUUUGCGUAGACAGGCAAGAUAUAUCAUUCUCUGUGCAACCAAGUCACUUUCAUUUUAUUACUCUUUUAUAAGUACAUUUGUAAUCUGAUCUUUUAAAAUUUUCUUUUGGGCACGGUAGGUUGAGGAACUUCGAGGUUUCUUUCCACCCACUGAAUGCUCAGUCCCAGCAUACCUCGAGUACUAUCCUUUAGGAAGGAAGAAUUCUCUUAUGAACCACAGUUCUGCAAGCCCUGAUGUUGCCUCUGAUGGCGCAGUUGAGAAAGGAGAUUCGGACACUACCCUGCAUUUAGGGUAAUUUACUUUUCCUACAUAUAAAUGCAACCUGUAACUAAAUUGUGAAACCCUUGCUCCCUUUUGUCAUUGUGCAUUCGAAGAUAAUUGAAAAACUGAAUAUAUUUCAACUUAGACAAUACAUACAACAGUCAAAUCUUUCGAGGUAAUUGAGAUUCUUUUAUGCAGAAUCGACGUAAAGUUCUUGAUUUUUCUAGUUACAUUUCCUUGGAAAUUGUAUGGCGCAUUUUUAAUUUUUUUUUCACCAGCAUACUUAUGGAACUGAUGAAUGAAAUUGGCUGUUUUUGUUGAAUUGUCGCCACUCAUCCAUUUUCUCUAGUCUAAUGUGUAUUCUCCGUGUUGCGUAGACUGCCUAGCAAUCUUUACCACAAGAGGAAGGCACCUGAAAGGGAAACCAAUUCGAAUGACUCCAGGAGCCAAUUGGGCGUGCUGUGAUACUUUGCUGCUUCGAGGUUCUGCUUUGCUUUGGAUAGAAACAACAGAAAUGAAAUGGUUUUUUCACAGUUUAGCAGUUUUCUGAACCAAAAAGUUUGGCUGAAAGUGCAAAAUCAUGAUAGUGGCGGUGUAUAUGUUUCUUUGUAAGGAGAAAUUAUAAGCUUUUAAGGUGGUGGUUAUUAAACAUGUUGUAGUUACUCUUACCAUGUUUUGAAGUAAUGGUCAGAGAAAAUUAGUUACCAAAGGCCUUCUUUUCUUCGCUUGCUUCACAAAAAUGGCCAUUGUCUUUUCUUGCAACUUUGUCCUUCAUUUUCCAUGUGAAGAGUGAGACCAGGAAGCAUGGAUUCUGCCUCGGUUUUUAGAAACAAACUAAGAAUCAUUAAGGACACCUUCAUAACUGCUCUAUUUCUACAGCUGAAAUGUUUCUCGUUUGAACAGAACUGGCAAAUGUUUGCAGACAUACUUCCACAAAGAGAAAUUGAAAUCUCAUAAUUUAUGUACAAAUAAGAAAACAUAUUUCUAAUGCUUAGUAGAGAAAGAAAAUUACACAAUUGUUUGUAAUUACCAUUGCAACUAAUUAUUUUUACUUGUUAUGAUGUCGAAUUCCAUCAAGCAAUUCAUUUCUUCCAGCCAAAAGCUUUGAGAAGAGAUGAUCAACCUCUUUCCCUAAGCUGUCAAGCAGUUUCUCGAACACGUCUAAUCUUCUCUGCAAUUCCUCGGUUACACCUCUGCUUUUGCUGGUGUCGGCUGCAGCCGCAAGGCAAGCAGCUGAAUCAUUCAACUCCUUCACCUCCUUCAAAACGCCCCCUUUUCCCUUAAUAACUUCACAGAUACUUGAAUCCAACUUGCUCAAAGCAGAAUUUGAAAACCCCUGUGAUUUUCUCAUCUUUAAGAAGUGUUCAGCAUCACCUGAUAAUCCAGCCAAGAUAACACCACAUACCCAGAAUCCGAUGCUCUUUAUUUCGAUCAAAGCUUGAUGAAUCACCCUUUCCUUGUUUGCAAAAGCCUUCGCUUCGUCACCUUCCUUGUCCUCUGGCUCCUUCAACUCUUUUCUUGGACUUGAACUCUUCACUUGAAUUGCACUCAAACGCUUGAUAGCCAAAGCACGGGACUUCUCCACUAGACCUAGAGCAUGAGACAGCGCAAGCCGUGCUUGUCCCAGAUGAGAAAUAGUGGAGGUAAUUGAAUUGAGAAGCUCCAACAAACACAAGCUGUAGUUGAGAUACUCCUCAACAGAAUCAGCUUCCCAUUUGCUCAUCGGAUAGUCAAUAUCCACCACCAGCUUUGCAAAAGCCUUGUUGAUUGACGGUAGCAGCUCAAAACAUUGUUGAAUCCACGGAAAUGAGAAGAAUUCUGACCCGGGUUUGGUGUUAAAUGACAGCUGGUUCAAGCAAACGGAGAGAUUAGAUUGAAAAUCUUGGAAAGAAGCUUGUAAAGCUUCAGAUUCAUGGCUGUGAUGAAGAUGACCCUCCAGUUUGCAGUAUAAUUUGCUAAGCCUUUCUACCAAGAGUACCAUGACAAUUAACAAACAAAAUUACAAGAGCGGCUUUGCCUUCGAAUGCUUUAUUUUGGUUUCGGUCAGUUUCGGUGCUUAGCUUUGCUCACGCUUGGCUUUCUUUAUAGUUUUAUAUUAUAUUAUACUAGAUGUCACAAUAGCUUAUGUUUCACAACGCGGCUAGGCCGUUUGAAUAUUCCAAACAAUUGGCCGCCACCCAAUGGGCUAUGUGCUUCUUUAUCUCCUUUUGUUGUCUGCAAUUUUAGUCACACACGCUUCGAGACAAUUGGUCCACUUGUUGUGGCCCGGCCUUGUAGUCUAAGCAAGAUAAGAUAGGAAGGUGGGUAGAAAGAUUAAUUUUAACCAUAUAAUAAUUGCAUAACUUUUGGAUUUUGGAUAGACUUUCAAGAAAGCUGCUUUGGUCCUUUUGGGAUCUCUGGCGCAAAACAUGGCAACUAUUUUCAGCCAUUAAAUAAAUAUUCAUUGCCAGUUGCUUGAUGUUAAUAUUUUAAAACAGAAGAGAAAUCAAUCUUUUGUUGGGCUGGGUAGAUUAAUAGUUAAUAACGCCCACUGAUUUUAGUCAAAUGUUUACAUCUAAAGUUUGAGUGAUUGAAGAAGCAACAUAGUAUGAAAAUUUUAGUUGGGUUUGCUUGUACGGAUAUUCAAUUUGUCACUACACUCAAUUUACAACAUUGGUGAAAUGGUGGUGAGUACAUAUUUUGGCGACUCUGUCUGCGAUUGUGAAAGCUAAGCGCAUGUUGAGUCUGCCGUAGUUUCAACGAAGCAAUCACUUGCAGCCGGCAUGUGUUUCUCGUUUAUAAAUCGGUUCAAGUAUCCGUUGUCGGCUCAUGUUAUUAUUAUAACCGUUCUUACUUCUUAGACUUUUGGGUUUUAAUUGAAUGGAAGAAAGAAUGAUAAUUUGGGGUGGUCAGUUGGUCCAGUAUCAAAACCUGUUUCUAGAUGCCGCGUCCAAGAUGCUUCAAAUUCGUGCUACAUUUUUAUGGCAUCUCCGGAUUAGGAAGAUAAUGAAUGUAUCAUUGACUUUGAAAGCAACAAGAUCUAUCUCCUACUUAAAAAGAUAUUUGAGAAAUAAUCAGUAGCAGCAGAAUUAGUUGCUGCGUCAUGUGGAAAAUCAAAUUCAUUUUUGGAGCAAAUCACGCGAGAUGGCACAGACUACAGAGUCAAUAGCCUGAAUUAUAGGGGAAGCUAAUGGAAGCUCUGUACGGCAGUGCAUACCCGUUGUUAAGUUACAGACAACAACUCAAAAGCAGUAACUUAAUAUAAGAAAACGACAGCUUUUAAAAGAAAUGAAAGAAGAAAUGAAAGAUUAUGAGUGACCACACAUUGGUUUGUUGCGAAUUAUAUAUAUGAUGUAAUUUAACAGAACCCCACCUUUAGAUAUUGGUGCGUGGGGGCAUAUUAUAAGUUGAGGUGCACUCUUCUACUGCGAGCCGGCUUUUGAAGGACUAAGUCCUCCUAAUGGUAAUGGGUUCCUAUAAUUAGAAUUGCAUCAAAGCAUUGGAGCAGUUGCACAUCAAGUAUGAGAUCCGUAUAGGUGCGACUUCAUCAAUGUGAUUCAGUAAUUGUGCGUAUAAGUGUUUGAUGAAAACUGAGUUAAUUACAUAAUUUUAUUUCUCAUAAUUAUAUAAUUUUAUUUCUCAUAGUGUAAUAUUAAAAUGUGAAAAAUAAUGUUGGUUAUUUCAUAAGUUAUAAAAUCUGUAAACUUCAAAGGUUAUGUUUAUUCAGCAGACAUUUAUUCACGGUAGACAUACAAUAAUUUUAUUUCGCAACCAAUGCAAUUUAAAGCACAACAUCCCUUUAAAAUUUUUUAAAAAGAAAAAAGAAAUCAAAAUACUGAAUUGAAUUAAAAUUUAUAUGAUAUCUUCUUAUCUGCUUUCGGCCAAACAUAUCUUUAAAAGCAUCCGUGGCAAAUAUACACGCGCGGAUCAUAUAUAUAUAUAUAUAUAUAUAAAGAGCUGAACUCUUAUUAAAAAAAGAAGAAGAAGAAGAAGAUUUGAACACUUGAACUAUAUUGACACCCUUUCAAGAUCCUCUAAAAAAACUCCAUUUUUUAAUUAUAUUACCCCACAAUGUCAAAAACACCCUUUUUCUAUGGCAUUCAAUCUUAGAUAACGAGUAUAAAUAAUUUUGAGAACAGGGUAUCUACUUUUAAAGUUUUUUUUUUCUUUUAUGAGUGCAAACUAUAGGCAGCACAAUAAAUUUCCCAAAUGAUGAAUAAAAAAUAUUUAAGUUUGCAUAGCAGCCCUCUUGCAAUGCUUAAUUUAUUCUUUGUUGAAUCCUCACAUUGAUUUCAUUAAUUUUAUCCAUUGAUCCUGUUUUAUAACUUAUUCUUAAAUAAAAAAAUUCAUCUCUAAAUUUUUUAAAUCUUCAAAUUUCUCACUCAUAAAAUUAUUUUACAAUCAUGAUAUCUCUAUUAUUCUCUUCAAACUUCUGACUCUACAAAACUCAAAAAAUAAAUUUCUCAAAAAAUAAAAAUAAUCAAUAUGAAAAAAAAGAAAAAGAAAUAAAAAUUAAUGUUUUAAGUUUGUGCAAACCAAUUGUAUAGAUGAAACUACAAAAGAAAAAUGAACACGUGCAAGUAAAAUAAAGUGAAGAGAUAAAAUAUACAUGGGAUUAUUUCUAUUUGUUUAUAUCCUUAAAUUAUAUUUAAUUAUAAUAGUGUAGGCACCCAAUUCUCCAGGGAACCAUAUAUUGCCACGUGUCCAUCUCAAUUAACUAAGGAAAGUUUUUGGGGAUGAGAUGACAUACGGAAAAAAGCCAGGAGGAACUAGGUUCAAUAUGGUCCCGAAUUUAUCACCUAAAGGAAUCAUGAUCAAGAGCAUUAGCUUAGGAAAGAUCAUUUCCUGUAAGAUGAUAUUCACAAUAAAGCCCCUUCAGUAGUUUAGUACACAAAAGCAAAUAAGAAUAAAAAGAGAAACUAGGCCUAACAUGGUCCAGGAUCUCUCACCUAAAGAGACCAUAACCAAGAGAAUGAGAGAAAGGAAAAGGGCAUACAAAGAAUAAUGUACAAAAUUCUUCCAAAUAAAUGCACAUACACGUGCCCUUGGAAUUAAGGUCUCGUUUUAAAUCUUAAUUUCGUGUCGUCUAAUUUUAUAAAAGAGCCCCAUCUUUAAGAGAAACAUCUUCCUUUCUCAACUUUAAAAAACCACAAAUUUGAACAUUAAAGUGUCUUUUUCACAUUCUUUCUCUAUCUGAUUAUAGGCCAACUGAUUAUGACAAGUUUUUCACAAGAAGGUAAAAAAUCUAACCCCUUCAAAUACAAUAGGAUUUUUAUAAAAUUAAUAAGGGGUGCCAAUAAUCCAACUCAUAUAUUAAUCACACGAAAUUAGGUGAUGAGCCAACUCCCAAUUAUAUGAGAUGGUCUGUUUAUACUUGCUGUCCAAAUCCUUUAAACCCGAUUUGGACACAAAUAGAGUUAGAAUUUGGGCCGAGAUUAAUGAACAUAUGAAUAGUGAUAUUUGACUGCUUUCAUUUUUCUUGUUGGGCCCCCACUUUUCAACUAAGCCCAUUUACUCUCUCCCCCCACCACCGCUUAUCUUUAUUACUUUAUAGCAUCAAUUAAAAUAGCUUUCAACAAGACAAAUUGAUAAAGUUCCUACAUAGUGAGUAUAUGCGGCAACGACUCACAAUUUGAAAAAUAAAAUAAAAUAAAUAAUUCUGACAGAUUUUUAUAUUAAUCUGCCUCCAAGUAUAUGUAUUUUAGUUUCUCACAAGUAACUAAUUCAUAAAGCAUAUUAAAUACAGUUACAUUAACCUCUACACUAAUUUUAAAUAUUUAAUAUCAUCAAGUCGACAUUCUAAAUAAGCAUUAUAUACAGAGUCUCAAUAUUACAAAAACAACAAUUUUCUUUUUAA
rnacentral:lncRNA from 1 species